CAUCUUCACCUAAAAUUCAAAAGAAAGAAACCAUGGGAGCAUGCUAGGUUCGACCAUGGCAUUUUUGUGUGCAUGGUAUGUGUUUUAACUUCACUUUUAAUUAUUUUUAUGUUUUCGAGAUCGUUGUAGCUUAAUCUAGCUAGCCGGUGGACUAAUUUGCAAAACUGUUAAAGGGUUAGGGUUUUACCAUGAUUUUUUUUGUGAUUUUUGAUGUUUUUUGGAAGAAAAUGAAUCUUUAUUGUUAAAUAAGCAACUUUUGUAAAGUGAUUUGUGAAAAAAUUAUCAUUUAGGGACUAUUAUGUAAAAGUGGUAAAAUGUUAUGAUGAAAUUAUGAAUUAAUGUUUUUUUUGGGUUGAUAUGAGUCCCUAGGAAAAUCGACUAGCAUGGUAUGUGGAUGAAAUUGUAUGAAUUUUCAUUUAUGAGCUUAAGGACUAAAUUGUAAAGAAAAUAACAUAAUAGGGGCAAAAGCAUAAUUUUGCAAGAGUCUGAAUUUUGGAUAGAAUUGAGUAGAAUGAAUAUUAAAUGAAUUAAAUUUCCUUAUUUAGAUCAAGUUAAGCCUCAUACGGAUCUAGAUCGAGGGAAAGAUAAAGUCUUGGACUAGUUGAUUCUUUUUUGUCGUCUUUGUAUUCUAGGUAAGUUCUUAUGUUUAAAUAGCAUUUUAAUGUUUUUUGAAUUAAAUGCUAUUAUGCUAUUUAUCAUAUCAUGUUACAAAAAAAAAUCCAAUGAUGUUAUAGUGACUAUCGAGCUCCGUUUGAACUUUAGGAAUAUAUAGGAUACAAAUGACAUGUCAUUAGGGUUACCAUGUUUCGGGUGCUAGUCCUGAAUGUCCUACUGAUGGCGGAGUUCUGGCAUUUGUUGUGAAUAGUCGUCAACUUGUGUAAGCGGCAUCAUGUAGCUACAUUCUGUCCGUCAGCUUGUGUGAGCAGGCACAUUUAUGGCUCGAGUGAGCAUCGAUGUAAAAGAAAAAUGAAAGGAAAUGGUUUCGACCAUAUGUUUAGCACAUUUUGUGAGAGCUUCCCACGUAUCCGAUAUUAUUCUAUGUGGUUCAACAGGCAUGUAAAGGGAAGGAAUGGGAAGUGUUCCGAUCAGCUAUAUUAUGAACUUAUAGAGGGGUAUCAAAUGUUAGAAAUCAAUGUAUGAAUAUUCAUGAUGAUGGAAAAUAUGAACUAAAUGGUGCUAUGUUCAUGUAUUAUACCUUACCAUGUGAUGAAGUUGUUAAGUUAUGUGUUUAAACACUAACUAUUGUUGUUGAUAAUGCUUAGGCUAGUGCCAAGCUUGUGUUGGAUUAAUUCAUGUCCAUUUUAUAAGAUUUUGCAUUGAUAUGGUAAGCUAUGUUCAUGAUUUACAAACUUAUUAAGCAUUAUAUGCUUACGUAGUUUUCUAUCCUAUGUUUUAUAGAUUAUCAAAAACUCGAUCGGUUUGGAAGCUCGUCAGAGACCUAUCACACUAUCCAGAGAUAAUAUCGGUAGAUUUUGAUGUUUUAGUCAUGGUUAUAAUUGUAACACCCCUAACCCGUAUCCAUCGCUGAAAUAGGGUUACAGAGCGUUACAAUAAAAACAUAUUGUAAAAACAUACAUUUUCAGUAUGAAUAUAAUCAUAGCAUAACUCAAUCACAUACAUGCAUAUCGUCCCUUAUUCGAUCCUUCGAGGCCCUAGAAACACUUUAGAAACAAUUCGGGACUAAAUCGAAAACAUUUGAAACAUCGAGGAAAAAGUUAGAAAAAUUUAAACUACAGGGGUACAUGGCUGUGUGGCCAAGCCGUGUGACUCACACGGCUGGGACACACACUCGUGUCUUAGGUCGUGUAAAAAUCAAAAUAAGGACACACAGUCGUGUCUCAGCCCGUGUCCUUACCUGUGUAACUCUCUGACUUGGGUCACACGGCCAAGCCAUACGCUUGUGUGCUAGGCCAUGUGCUAGGCUGUGUAACUACCUGACUUGAAACCUUUAAAAACUACAUGGGACACACGGUCGUGUUGCUUGGCUGUGUGUCACACACGGCUGAGACACACGCUCGUGCCUUAGGCUGUGUGGGCAAGAAAUUGGCCAAAAUCAAGCCAUUUCCAUCACCCAUUUCAAACAUGUACCUACAAGCCAUUUGCACUCUUAACCCAAAGCAUCUAAACAUACCAAUUCAAGCAUAAAACAACCAAUUCAAUGAACCAUAAAUCCAUCCAACCAAUAUGCCAACAAGGCACCUCAAAUGCAUUUAACCAUAUCUUACCUAAACAUGGAAACAUUACCACAUUUCAUACAUACCUAUUAAGAUCAAUACCAUUUCAAAACUUACCCUUUUUUUACUACAACAAAACUAUUCCAACACAUACCAUAUCUUGACCAUAUUGAAACCAAUUCAUCACAUAUCAUUUUAGUCAUUCAAACAUGCAUCAAAACUAAAUCAUAUUAACACAUACUAAUAAGGCAUCAAAAGUACCAAACCAAAUAACUUAUACAAACUAAAAUAUCAAUAAACAUUCAACUAAACAUCAUUAUAAGUCCACCUAUACAUGCCAUUAUAACCAUAACCAUCAUAUCAAAACUACCAAAUUGACUACUGGAUAGUGUGAUAGAUUUCCGACGAGCUUCCAACCCAAUCGAGCUUUUUGAUGACCUACAGGAAAACAAAACAAUUAACAUAAGCAAAAAUGCUUAGUAAGUUCGUAUAAAUGUAACCUAACUACUGAACAUAUUAGAAUAAACAACUAGGCAUAAAUUAUAACAACCCAAACUCGAUCUAAACGUUAUGACCGAAUCUGGCGAUGUCACAUUUUAACACCCCUUACCCGUAUUCGACGCCGGAAUAGGGUACGAGGCAUUACUAAAAGACAUACAUUUGCAUAUGUAUUAAACUGAGUUACAAAAUUUCAUCCGAAUUAAAACUUUCAAAUUUUUAUCGUGCUUUUAUAAUUCUUUACAACAUAUCCUCGAAAUAUUAUAUUCAUAACAAAUAGGGCCUACGAGACCCGAUAUUUACUCAUAUAAUUCAAAGCUUCAUUUCCAUUUCAUUCAAUUCACAAUUUCUCAUGUUCACAAUUCAAAUCAAUUUCUCAACCCAAUAUAUAUUUCAAUCAUCUAAGAAUAUAAUUCAAGUUACACGAACUUACCAGGCUAAAUUGUAAAAAUACCAAAAUUUAGGGACAUUUUGGUAAUUUUCUAUUUUCCUCGAAUUUCCACCCAAUCUUGAUAUAAAUUAAUAUUUCACUCAAUUUAUUAAUUUAAAUAAUAAACAAAUCAUUUCAUGAAAUUUGAUCACUUUUUGACAUUUUUACAAAAUUACCCUUAAAAUUUUACUUUUAUUCAAUUUAGUCCCUAAACCUAAAACAUGCAAAUUACCUAUUUUAAAAUAAACUCAUAUUAGCUAAAUACUCAAAUAUAUUUUUCCUUCACCUCCACUCCAUUCCACAUCCUUGAUAAAUACAUAAUACCACUAUUAACUUGUUUACGCAUAACAAGCUGUUCACUUGAGUCAUAGUCACUAAAUUAAUUAUAUCUUAAGCUACAGAACUCUGAAUUGAGAUCUGAAAAUUUUCUCUGAAACUAGGCUCACAUAUAUUCUUACCAUAAAAUUUUCAGAAUUUUUGGUUUAUCUAAUAAUUACAGUUUAUUCAUUAAAUCUUUCCCCUGUUUCACUGUUUGACAAUUCCAACCCCUUUUCACUAAAAAUUAAUUAUCUCUUUGUACAGAAUUUGAAUUAUGUUCCCAUUUGUUUCUAUUGAAAAUAUAAAUUAUAACCCAUAAUUAUUUUUUUACAAUUUUUAAUGAUUUUUCCAAGUCAGAAUGGGGGGAACCCGAAUUCAUUCUGACCUUGUCUCACAAAAUUUAUUAUAUCUCAUGAUUUAAAAUUCCAUUACUUACAAAGAUUCUUCUAUGAGAAACUAGACUCAAUAAUAUUUAUUUCCAUAUUUUAUUCAUACUCUAAUUCUAUUUCCACAAUUUAUGGUUAUUUUUCAAAUUUAACCUACUGCUGCUGUCCAAAACUGUUUUAGUGCAAAAUGUUGAUUACUAGGUGUAUAACUCCCUUAUUCCCUUUCUCUAUAAUAUUUCCCAUCACUUUCACUUAUUUCUCUUCACUAAUAUAUCAAGAACAUAAGACUGUAUAUAAGAAAACUCUACUAUAACAUUAUUUCCAUGCUUUUUCAAUAAUAUCAAACUUAAAAAUAUAUUGAAAUCUUGAUGUUCUUACCUUGUGCUAUUGAUUUUAAUCUUUAACUUCAUUUUCUCUCUCCUCCAGCUUCUAUUUCUUAAAUCUAACUUGAUAUUCUAGCUCCCCAUUGUCUCCUUGUUAUUCUUCUCUCUUGGAAGCUAUGGAAAUUCUUUUGAUUUCUAGGUGAAAAUGGUAAAUUUUUUGUGGAAGGACCAAAUUGUAAAGAAAGUAAAACUUUCUUUCUUCUCCUCUCUUCUCACGUUAGUUGCAUGGAAAUAUGGUGGAAUGGAUGAUUCUUCAUCUUCCUUUUCUUAUAUAUACUAAAUAAAAUACUAAUAAAAUAAUAAAAUAUCAUUUAAAAAUUAAAUUAAAAUAUUAAUAAACUAAUAUUUAUUUAUUUAAUAUAAAAUAUCUCCAACAUCAUCAUUAUCUUCUAAAUUUCUCUCUACCAUUUUGCCCUUUAUAAUCUUUAAAAAUUUCACCUUGAGUCAUCACUUAAUUUGGUAAAAUUGUGAUUUAGUCCCUCAAAAUUCUUCACCUUUUAAAUUUGGUCCUAAUUCAUCCAUUUUCCUUAGUUUCUAGAUUAUUCCACCCUUAAAAUAUUUACACUAUUGGUCCUUCAAAUUUUUUGUAUUUACACUUUAAUCCCUCAAAUUUUGAGUAUUUACUCUUGGGCAACAAAACUUUUCUCACUUUUGCGAUUUAAUCCUUUCUUGAAUUAAUAUGUCAUAAUAUAAUUCCCAAUGUUGCCAUUAUGCAAAAUUUCUCUUUUUGUCACUUUAUUUUCUUAUUUUCCUAUCAAGGGUACUUACUUUCUUACUGUAGUAAUUUUCGGUGUAUUACAUUUCUCCCCCCUUAAAAUAAAUUUCGUCCUCGAAGUUUCCUUGUUUUGUUUUGAUCAUGAACUUCAUCAUUUCUGUAUUCUUUUAAUUAUCCUUUUCUAUCCAUUUUUAUCACUAACAUUUCUAGUUUUUAUAUCAUUUUGUACUUCCUUUUCAAUAAUAUUCUUCUUUUUACUUAAUCGAGCUCUUAUUUCCUCUCUUUCCACUUAACCAGAAGUCCUUUCUUCAUUUAGUUUUCUUAAAAUCAUCUCUAUAAUUCUAUAGUUCCCUUCUGCACAUAUUUACCGAGCUUAGUAUUUGUAUUCAUUCUCUAUCCUUUCAUUUCACAAUUUAUUUUUAAUUCAAUAUUUCAAACAUGAAUCAGAGGUAAACCUUUACCUUGUAGCGAAAGUUAUUUAUCUUUUUUCUAGCAGAGGCCCAGUAGAUUAGAUAGAACACUUAGGAUAUACGAAACUGAUACGAAAGUGCAUUAUUAUGCAUUAUUAAACAGAAAGCACUAAAGUGUUAUAUAGAGAACAUAAAUGUGCUAAUAAUCGGAGAGAACUAGCGUGCUAUUAAUCAGAGAGUGUGCUAGGGUCCUUUAAUGAUAUACCACUAAUAUCCUAGUAGUUCUAAUCUCAUCUACUUGGGAAAAUUAUAUCAUGCAUGUAUAUCACUUUUACACUUUUCGCAUAAUGCUUUUACAUCCUUUACAAUUUAAUCCUUGUACCAAUAAUCCGUAUAUUUUUAUCUUCUCUAUCUUUAAUAUAUGUAUUAUAUUUCAAAAUUCAUUAUUCAUCCAUAAUUUACUAAUAAUCCAUAUCAUGUACUUCACAUAUCACGUUUAUAUGUUUUGCAAUUUAGUCAUCAGCACAAUAUUUCUUUUAGCAAAACAAUACACUUUCUAAGUAUGCACGCAAAACAGAAUAAUAACCAGUCAUAAACUGAUCAGACCAACAGGGUUUUUGUCUAACAUUAUAAUUAGCUAACAUUCUCACAACAUAAGAACUCUAUCAGAACUGAACAAUUACACAUACAUAUCUUUGAGGAUAAAAGAAUAUAUAUAAUAUCUAGAAAAUAUCAUCAUGUUCAUUUCGACUGUAACCUUCACACACAGACAUCUUUACCACUUAAUUAUCAUUUCUCUGACUAAUUCUGUUAUCAUGAACCUCACUUUAUUCCACUCAGUAAAAAAAAAACUUCCAGUUAAUACAUACAUUCUUUUAGGUAUCAUACCUGAAUAUUUUGUCUCAUCAAAUUUAACUUCUUCUUUAUUUACUCUCUUACUUGUUUAUUUACUUGCUUGCAUAAACAACUCAUGAUUAUAACUUACUCCUUCCUUGCUGAAAUUAUUUUCUCAACUGAUAACUGAAAUAUUCUUAAUCCUUAUACUUACCUGAAUCUGCUAUUGUACUUUUACCUGAACAUUCAUGUAACAUAAUUUCUUUACUAGCCCGUUGAAUCACUUAGAAUACUAAGGAUACUCGGGUCUCCUGUCUGAUAAUAACAUGCCAAAGCUAUGUCCCAGACAUAGUCUUACAUGGGAUGUUUUCUAUAUUGCCAAUGCCAUAUCCCAGAUAUGGUCUUACAUGGGAGUUCUCAUAUCGGUGUCCAUGCCAUGUCCCAGACAUAGUCUUACGGGGGACCUCUCAUCUCGGUGCCAACGCUAUGUCCUAGACAUGGUCUUACAUGUGACCUCUCAUCUCGGUGCCAAUGCCAUGUCCCAGACAUGGUCUUACAUGGGACUUCUUAUCUCGGCGCCAACGCCAUGUCCCAAACAUGGUCUUACAUGGGACCUCUCAUCUCAGUGCCAACGCAAUGUCCCAGACAAGGUCUUACAUGGGACCUCUCAUCUCGGUGCCAGCGCCAUGUCCCUGACAUGGUCUUACACUGGCUCACAUAUUGAUGUUGAUGCCAUGUCCCAGAUAUGGUCUUAUACGAGAUCACACGCCGAUGUCAUAUCUCAGAUAUGGUCUUAUAUGGAAAUCACAUAUCACAUGUUGCCAUGGUCCAACCAUGGUCUUUUCCGUCAAUUCAUCACAUAUCACUGAACGAAAGUACUCUUUCCUGUGUUUUACUUAAUUUGAUCUUUCAAUUUAGUUUUCAUACUAUUAUAAUAUUCAUAGUUCAAUGCAAAGACAUAAAAAAAACAUCAUAUUAUUUCUAAUUUAACAAUUAAACAUAAGAUUCUACCAUAUAAACAUACUGAUUACACUUAUUCAAGCAAGUGUACAUAAACAUACAUUCCAUCUAUUUGUGUAUAUUUACUUACCAUAUUUACUUACUCAAAUAUGUUGAACACAAAACAUCAUAUGCGCACCAAGCAAACGCGGAUGAGCAUAUCACCAUAUAAACUUUCAUUUUAUUCUACGAUUCUACAUUUCUCAACUCAUGUUUGUCUUACUUCAUACGUUAACACAUACUUAUCAUGAAUUUUCUAUUCAUACCUUUCUAAAUUUCGUUUCAUCAUAAACACAUUUCAAUCACCUCAACAUAAAUUUUUUUUAGCAUUAUUGGAAACAACUCAGUUAGAAGUCAUCUCUGUCUUACAAAACAAUUUCAUUGGAGUAGGAAGAUAUUACAUUAUCACGAGUAAUAAUAUGGCAUGUAUAGCUAAACUCACAUACGCUAUGUUAGUCCGAGAACCGACUAAACCAUAGCUCUGAUACCAAUAAUUAUAACACCCCAAACUCGGUCUAAACAUUAUGACCGAAUCUGGCGAUGUCACAUUGUAACACCCCUUACCCGUAUUCGACGCUGGAAUAGGGUACGAGGCAUUACUAGAAGACAUACAUUUGUAUACGUAUUAAACUGAGUUACAAAAUUUCAUCCGAAUUAAAACUUUCAAAUUUUUAACGUGCUUUUAUAAUAUUUUACAACAUAUCCACGAAAUAUAAUAUUCAUAACAAAUAGGGCCUACGAGACCCGAUAUUUACUCAUGUAAUUCAAAGCUUCAUUUCCAUUUCAUUCAAUUCAUAAUUUCUCAUGUUCACAAUUCAAAUCAAUUUUUCAAUCCAAUAUAUAUUUCAAUCAUCUAAGAAUAUAAUUCAAGUUACACGAACUUACCAGGCUAAAUUGCAAAAAUACCAAAAUUUAGGGACAUUUUGGUAAUUUUCUAUUUUCCUCAAAUUUCCACCCAAUCUUGAUAUAAAUUAAUAUUUCAUUCAAUUUAUUAAUUUAAAUAAUAAAAAAACUUAUUUCAUGCAAUUUGGUCACUUUCUGACAUUUUUACAAAAUUACCCUUAAAAUUUUACUUUUAUUCAAUUUAUUCCCUGAACCUAAACAUGUAAAUUAGCUAUUUUAAAAUAAACUCAUAUUAGAUAAAUAUUCACAUAUAUUUUUCCUCCUCCUCCACUACAUUCCACAUCCUUAAUAUAUACAUAAUACCACUAUUAACUUGUUUAGUCAUAACAAGUUGUUCAUUUGGGUCAUAGUCACUAAAUUAAUUAUAUCUUAAGUUACAGAAUUUCGAAUUGAGAUCUGAAAAUUUUCUCUGGAACUAGACUCACAUAUAUUAUUACCAUAAAAUUUUCAGAAUUUUUGGUUUAUCCAAUAAUUACAGUUUAUUCUUUAAAGUUUUCCCAUGUUUCACUGUUUGACAGUUCCGACCCCUCUUCACUAAAAAUUAAAUAUCUCUUUGUACAGAAUUUGAAUUAUAUUACCAUUUGUUUCUAUUGAAAAUAGACUCAUUAAGUAUUUUAAAAAUAUAAAUUAUAACCCAUAUUUAUUUUUUUACAAUUUUUAAUGAUUUUUCCAAUUCAGAAAAGGGGUACCCGAAUUCAUUCUAACCUUGUCUCACAAAAUUUAUUAUAUCUCAUGAUUUAAAAUUCCAUUACUAACACAGUUUCUUCUAUGAGAAACUAGACUCAAUAAGAUUUAUUUCCAUAUUUUAUUCAUACUCUAAUUCUAUUUCCACAAUUUAUGGUUAUUUUUCAAAGUUAACCUACUGCUGCUGUCCAAAAUUGUUUUAGUGCAAAAUGUUGAUUACUAGGUGUAUAACUCCCUUAUUCCCUUUCUCUAUAAUAUUUCCCAUCACUUUCACUUAUUUCUCUUCACUAAUAUAUCAAGAACAUAAGACCUUAUAUAAUAAAACUCUACUAUAACAUUAUUUCCAUGCUUUUUCAAUAAUAUCAAACUUAUAAAUAUAUUGAAAUCUAUGUUCUUACCUUGUGCUAUUGAUUUCAAUCUUUAACUUGAUUUUCUCUCUCCUCCAGCUUCUCUUUCUUGAAUCUAACUUGAUAUUCUAGCUCCCCAUUGUCUCCUUGUUAUUCUUCUCUCUUGGAAGCUAUGGAAAUUCUUUUGAUUUCUAGGUGAAAAUAGUAAAUUUUUGGUGGAAGGACCAAAUUGUAAAGAAAGCAAAACUUUCUUUCUUCUCCUCUCUUCUCACGUUAGUUGCAUGGAAAUAUGGUGAAAUGGAUGAUUCUUUAUCUUCCUUUUCUUAUAUAUAUUAAAUAAAAUACUAAUAAAAUAAUAAAAUAUCAUUUAAAAAUCAAAUUAAAAUAUUAAUAAACUAAUAUUUAUUUAUUUAAUUUAAAAUAUCUCCAACAUCAUCAUUAUCUUCUAGAUUUCUCUCUCUUCUAAUUGACCAUUUUGCCCUCUAUAAUCUUUAAAAAUUCCAUCCUUGAGUCAUCACUUAAUUUGGUAAAAUUGUGAUUUAGUCCCUUAAAAUUUUUCACUUUUUCAAUUUGGUCCUAAUUCAUCCAUUUUCCUUAGUUUCUAGAUUAUUCCACCCUUAAAAUAUUUACACUAUUGGUCCUUCAACUUUUUCAUAUUUACACUUUAAUCCCUCAAAUUUUGAGUAUUUACUCUUGGGUAACAAAACUUUUCUCACUUUUACGAUUUAAUCCUUUCUUGAAUUAAUAUGUCAUAAUAUAAUUCCCAAUGUUGCCGUAACUCAAAAUUUCCCUUUUUGCCACUUUAUUUUCUUAUUUUACUAUCAAGGAUACCUACUUUCUUACUGUAGUAAUUUUCAGGGUAUUACAUAAAUUCUCAUUAUAUCAUAAGUUAACUUUCACUUUUCUAUUCAAUACACCUUUCAUGGACACCUAAUGUAGCUUUGUAUAUACAUAAAUAUAUAUAUUUUUAAGCAUUUCAUAUAACGAUUUCACUUAAACGUUUCUGCUUACCAUAAUACUUACACAUUUAACAUAUAUUCAUAUUGUAAUUAAUCUUUCAUUUCAAAGUCUCAUAUAAACAUAUUAACCUGAAUCACUUACUUUCACUAAACAAUGUGAAAACUAAAUAAAUAUAUUAAUCAUACCUUUUAUUUAUUCACGAAGCACUUAUAAAAUUAGUAAUAAAAAUGGUUCAUCAUAUGCUACCUGUACUAUAAUAAUUCAAUCCAAACUCAUUCAUAUAUGUAUAUAAAUAUCUAACUUCAACCAUAUAAUCAUCAAUAUAAUUAUACUCACGUAUGAUCAAAUAGAUCAUUGAACAUUUAAUAUUUACUACUAUCUUGUCUAUACUUUAGCCGAUAAGCACAUAAAUAAUUUUGUAAAUGCCAUUAACCUUUAUGAUGCGAUCUCGGUCGCAUCAUGUUACGACACAACUCGAUGCUACCGAGAUUGUCCCAAACUCGAGGGGCCCAAGUGCAAAAUGAAGUUUUUAAUUUCAGUUUAUCAAUUUGGCUGCUGGAAAAUAAGGACUUUGAUUCAUUAAUUUUUAGUUAUUUUAGUUUGUGUUUCUAAUUAUGUCGUAGUUUGCACAUCAUUAAUAUAUGUUCUGCAUUUAAUAAAGUCAUGCAUUAUGUAACUUUCAUGUUAGUUAAGUUUGCAUCAUUAAAUUAAGUCAAGUUAGUUUAAUUAUGUAACUUUCAUGUUAGUUAAAUUUGUAUUUCAAAACCAUGCAUUUAAGCAUCUUAUUUUAAUAAAUGAGUUGCUGGACAUUUAUUCAACUCAUCUUAGUUUUAAUUAAUAAGUGUUUUUGUUUAACUUUAUUUAAUAAGUGUUGUUCUUAAUUAAUCUAGUUCCUAGGAUUAUUUAUUGAUGCAUGAGUUAAGUUCAUUUAAUUAUGCUUCUUUAAUUAAACUAGUGCUGGAAUAAUUAUUGCAUAUAUGUUUUAGUUCAUUUAUUUAAGUAAGUAAUAAUGUGUGUUAUGAUUAAUAAGUGUUUUCAUGUGUUUAAUAAACUCAUUUUAAUGUGUUUAUUGCAGGUGACUUUUCAGCUCAUAGUGGUUACAAUUUAAGGUUGUUAUACAUUAAAUUAAGUGGCUGUUCAAGUUAUUUUCAGUUACAAUUAAAUGGGCUGUUAUAAAGGAAGCUUAAAAAUCAUUAAAGGAGUUUUUAAAGAGCAUUUUAUGCCCUUUAAAAUUCGGUAGCAACCCUUCUUCUUCCAGCCGUUUUUUGGAGCUUUCAAGAGAAUUUAAUCAAGCCUUUUAAAUGUCAUUGGUGUCUAUUCAACUGGCCAAGGACAACUCAAGAGUCAUUUUUAAGCCAUUAAAGACAUUCAAAUUAGUUGAAUUGAAGUGAAUUUAUGGAAGGAGUUAUUUGGUUCAAGCAUAAGAAAAGACAUGAGUUUUUAUGGCACAUUAAGUUGGAUCUAUUUAACCACUCAAUUACCUUGUUCCAGCAUUAUAAAUAGAUGUAAUCAGCCUCAGAGAAGGGACUUUUUUGCUGAAUAUACAUGAAAUCUUUGAAUGGUGAGUUAUCCAAUUCUUUUUGUUCUUACGGAAUUUAUUUGACUUAUCAAGCAUAGCUUGUGGCGUCUAUCUUUUCUUGUUUGUCGAACUUAUUACCUUUGGUGUGGCGUUCAAUAAACCUUUGGUUCCUAUCAUAGUUGAUAGAGGGUCAAGGUUUCUUGCUGUUUCUUUAAACCGAUAAACACCUAAGAAUGUAACACCCCUUACCCGUAUUCCUUACCGGAACAGAGUAUGAGGUAUUACUAAAUUUUUAAAAAUUUUCGACAGCAUUCCUACUUAUUUUUGCUUAAACCUUCUGCAAAUUUAGAACACAUUCCAAUAUACCAACCAAUUUCAUUUGUAUAAACACACAUAUAGUUUAACUAUUAAUAAACACUACAUUUAAAAGGGAACCAUAACAUAUAUUUACAUGAUGAUCCCACAUUACAUAAAGUGUCUAUACAUGCCAUAAAAUUUCGGAACACUAGUAGUAAAAUACCCCAAAUGUGAAGGAUAGUGUAGAUGAUUGUCUGACUUCGUUCCAAUUUCCGAGUUGUUGGAAGUCACUAUAACCAAGAGAAAAAUAAAAUCGAGUAAGCAUAUAGCUUAGUAAGUAAACACAUGAUAAAUAAGUAAUUACUCCCAUAACUACACCAAAAUAUAAACUUAUUCAUGAAUAACUUUAUUGUUUAGGCAAUUUCCAGCAAGCUAUUUUUCUGCGUCAUAGUCGCUAAUUUAUUUUUAUCUGGAGCUACAGAGCUCCAAAUUGAGUUCCGUAAAUUUUCCCUGAAACUAGACUAAUAUACCAUUUUACCAUAAAAAUUUCAGAAUUUUUAACCCAGCCAAUUAGUACAGUUUAUUCAUUAAACCUUCCCCUGUUUCACUGCCCAACGGUUCUGACCCUUCCUCACUAAAAUUUACUUAACUCUCUGUACAAAAUUUGAAAAAUGGGUUUUCUUGUUUCUAAUAAAAAUAGACUCAAUAAGGAUUCCAGGGAUAUAAAUUUCAUGCCAUAAUUUUUUUUUUCAAUUUUUGGUAAUUUUCCAAAGUUAGAACAGGGGAUCUCGAAAUCAAUCCAGCCCUGUUUCAGUAAAAUUCAGAUAUCUCCAAAAAUACAACUCUUUUGCUUAUUCUAUUUCUUUCAUAUGAAAAUAGACACAUUCAGCUUCAAUUUCAUAUAUUAUUCAGCUUCCCAUUCAUUUUCCACCAUUUAUGGUGAUUUUUCAAAGUUACCCAACUGCUGUUGUUCAACACAGUUUAUAAUUAAAUCGUUCCUUUUGCGUUUUUGAUAUUUUCUCCCAUCUCAUACAUGGGUCGAUUUAGUAUUCAACUCAAUAUUUACCCCAUAAAAUUUUCCACCAUAUGGAAAUAUUCAUCUUCCACACUUUUUCGUUGAACACUUGGAAUGUUAACCGUUAUUGGUGGAUCUCGCACUUAGCACCACCGCUGAAUCGGGGAAUCAGCACUUAGCAACCCCUCGGGGGAAUCAGCACAUAGCAACCCCUUUCACAUUUCAAAGAUAUGGUGGAUAUCGCACUUAGCACCACCAAUGAACCGGGGAAUCAGCACUUAGCAACCCCUCGGGGGAAUCAGCACAUAGCAACCCCCUUUUCACAUUUCAAAGAUAUGGUGGAUCACGCACAUAGCACCACCAAUGAAUCGGGGAAUCAGCACACAGUAACCCCUUUAUAUACAACAUACUCCGGCUUAUUCCGAGUGUUCAACCCAUAAACCAUAUAUUGCAACCCUUUACCACCUUUCCCGAUUUAACAACAUUUUUAGGAUAUGGCCAAACAUUUAUUUUAAUUCCAAAUAAAUCUCAACAUAUAUCAAAUAAUAUCAAAAUAAUACAUUAAGUCACAUGUUUACUUACCUCGGUGCAAAAUAUCGUAAUUUUGCACUUUACUCCCCUAUCUUUUCUUUUCCCCGUUUGAUAUACUCUUCACGUCUUUCUUGAUCUAUAAUAGCAAAUUUAACUCGUUUAAUAUUCACAUUUAUUAAAAUAAUCCACCACCCAACUUUUUGAAAAUUACAAUUUUGCCCCCAAACUUUUGCAUAAUUACACUUUUGUCCCCAAGCUCGGAAAUUAAACUUCAUCACUUAUUCUUAAGUUUUAUAACAUGCUGAACAUUUUUCCCUUCUAUGGAAACAUCAAAUUCCCACUCCAACACAUACUUUUGAAUAUUAAUUAUUUUUACCGAUUAUGUCUAUUUACCCGUUUUCGCUUAAAAUUGCUUAGCAAAAGUUGUUUAACAUAAUCUCUAGCUUCAUAUUCCACCAUAAAACAGCAAAAUAAACACAUUUCACCUAUGGAUAUUUUUCCAAAUAUGAACCCUAACUUGAAUUAAUGGUAGAAUAAGCUAAACCAAGUUACCGGGACUCCAAAAAUACGAAGAACAUUAAAAACGGGGCUUAGAAUCACUUACUAUGGAGCUUGAAAGCUUAAAAACCCUAAAUAUGGCUUCCCCCUUGCUGAUUUCGUUCACCAUGAAGAAGAUGAGCAUAUUUUGCCAUCUUUUUCCCAUUUAAUUCUAUUUAAUAACCAAAUGACUAAAAUGCCCCCAUUUAAAAAAAAUCUAUUUCACCCAUUUCUUAUGUCUAUUUUUGUCCAUCAACUAACUAAUGGUCUAAUUACCACAUAAAGACCUCCAAUUUAAAAUUUCAUAACAAUUAGACACCUCUAAGAUGUAGAACUCAACUUUUGCACUAUUUACAAUUUAGUCCUUUUGACUAAAUUGAGUGCCCAAACGUCGAAAUUUUCGAACGAAAUUUUUACGAAAAUUUUCCGUGAAAUUGUAGAUCAUAAAAAUAUAAUAAUAACCAUAUUUUCCCUCGUCGGAUUUGUGGUCCCGAAACCACUAUUCCGACUAGGCCCAGAAUCGGGCUGUUACAACUCUCCCCCCCUUAGGGAUUUUCGUCCCCGAAAAUCUUACCGGAAAAGAGGUUUGGGUACUGUUUCCUCAUAAUUUCCUCCGGUUCCCACGUAGCCUCUUCCAUUCCAUGUUUUUGCCACAACACUUUCACUAAGGCUACACUUUUAUUUCUUAACUGUUUGACCUCCCGAGCCAAAAUCUUUAUGGGUUCUUCUUCAUAAGUCAUAUCUGGUCGAACCUCAAUCUCUGUAGGAGAAACUAUAUGUGAAGGAUCCGAACGAUAACGUCGCAACAUCGACACAUGAAAUACAUUAUGUAUCUUUUCCAACUCUGGCGGUAAAGCUAACCGAUAUGCUACAGGGCCAACUCUCUCGGUAACUUCAAAUGGUCCAAUAAAACGUGGACUUAGUUUGCCUUUACGACCAAAUCUCAGAAUCUUCUUCCAUGGGGAUACUUUCAAGAACACUUUAUCACCCACUUGAAACUCAAUUUCUUUUCUCUUUAAAUCCGCAUACGACUUUUGCCGAUCUGAGGCAGCUUUUAGGCAAUCACGGAUUAUUUUCACCUUUUCUUCAGUUUCUUUCACCAGGUCGACUCCAUGAAUCCGAUUCUCACCGAGUUCAGUCCAAUAUAAAGGGGUUCUACAUUUACGCCCAUAUAAUGCUUCAUACGGUGCCAUUUGCAUACUUGACUGAUAACUAUUAUUAUAAGCAAAUUCAACCAGUGGUAGAUAUUUCUCCCAACUGUCCUUCAUUUCUAAAAUACAACACCGGAGCAUGUCUUCAAGAACUUGAAUCACCCUUUCUGAUUGCCCGUCAGUUUGCGGAUGAAAUGCAGUACUGAAAUUCAAUUUCGUACCCAAAGCUUCCUGUAACUUUAUCCAAAACCUCGAAGUAAAUCUCGGAUCUCUAUCCGAUAUAAUAGAUUUAGGCACCCCAUGUAGUCUCACUAUUUCAGCAACAUAUAAUUCAGCCAACCUGUCAAGUGAAUAAUCAAUGCGUAUCGGAAUAAAAUGGGCUGACUUUGUCAAUCUAUCCACAAUUACCCAAAUAGCAUCUUUCUUCUUUGGAGUUAAAGGCAAUCCUGUCACGAAAUCCAUCGUGAUACUGUCCCACUUCCAUUCUGGAAUCGUUAUCGGUUGAAGUAAACCCGAUGGAACUUGAUGCUCAGCCUUUACUUGUUGACAGAUUAAACAUUUUGUUACAAAUUCCGAGAUAUCCUUUUUCAUGCCCGGCCACCAAUACAACUUCCUCAAAUCAUUGUACAUUUUCACACUACCCGGAUGGACUGAUAAAUCACCACUGUGUGCCUCACCUAAAAUAGUCCGAAUUAGCUCAUCAUUUCUCGGUACACAUAUUCUGUCCCUGAACAUCAGGCAAUCAUCUGAACCAAUUUGAAAAUCUGAGUCAACACCUGCUUCACACUGAGCUCUCUUGGCUUGCAAUUUACUAUCAUUCUUUUGAGAUUCCCGAAUUUGCUGAAGAAAUAACGGUCUAGCUCUCAAUUCAAUCAACAUUGAGCCAUCAUCAGAUAAAGUUAACAUUGUACCCAUAGCUCUCAAAGCAAAUAAAGAUUUUCUGCUCAAGGCAUCAGCAACCACAUUAGCUUUCCCGGGGUGAUAAUCAAUCACUAGCUCAUAGUCUUUGAUUAGCUCGAGCCAUCUUCGUUGCCGCAAAUUCAAGUCUUUUUGACUCAUCAAAUAUUUCAAACUCUUAUGAUCAGUGAAGAUUCGGCACUUUUCACCAUACAAAUAAUGACGCCAAAUUUUUAAAGCAAAAACAAUGGCAGCCAAUUCUAAAUCAUGCGUCGGAUAAUUCUUCUCAUGCGGUUUCAACUGUCUCGAAGCAUAAGCUAUUACUUUGCCCUCUUGCAUUAACACACACCCAAGGCCAUUCAACGAUGCAUCACUGUAAAUUACAAAUUCCUUCCCGGACUCAGGUUGCACCAACACUGGCGCCUCAGUCAAUAAUGCCUUCAACUUUUCAAAACUCUGUUGACAUUUAUCGGUCCAUUCAAACUUGACAUUCUUCUGCAGUAACUUAGUCAUAGGAGAAGCAAUCAUCGAGAAUCCCUUGACAAACCGUCUGUAAUACCCAGCUAAGCCCAGGAAGCUUCUAACUUCAGUCACAUUCUUUGGUGGCUCCCAAUCAACAAUUGCUGAAAUUUUGCUUGGAUCAACUCGAAUACCUUCACUUGAAACUAUAUGUCCCAAGAAUCCAACCUCACGAAGCCAAAACUCACUUUUGCUGAAUUUAGCAUACAAUUUCUUUUCUCUCAGAAUCUGCAACACAGUUCUCAAAUGUUCUGCAUGUUCCGAUUCAUCCCGAGAAUAGAUUAAAAUAUCAUCUCGUUCUAAAGGCGGUUUUCGGCACAUCAGACUCUUUAACUCUCAACUGAUAGUAACCAGACCUCAGAUCGAUCUUGGAGAACACUGUUGCCCCUUUUAAUUGAUCAAACAAAUCAUCAAUUCUCGGCAAAGGAUACUUGUUCUUUAUGGUCACCUUAUUGAGCUGACGAUAGUCAAUACAAAGUCUCAUAGAGCCGUCCUUCUUUUUCACAAAUAACACAGGAGCACCCCAAGGAGAAAAACUCGGUCUCACAAAUCCUUUAUCUGUCAACUCUUGUAACUGAGCUUUUAAUUCCUUCAACUCAGUCGGAGCCAUUCGAUACGGUGCAAUAGAAAUCGGUGCAGUACCAGGUAACAGAUCAAUAGAAAACUCAACUUCUCUAGUCGGAGGUAACCCAGGCAAUUCCUCUGGAAAUACAUCUGGAAAUUCACGGACUACCGGCACUGAUUCAAGCUUCGACCCAGUUAUAUCAGUAUUCAACACAUAAGCAAGAUAAACUUCACAUCCCUUUCUCAAGUAUUUCUGAGCAGACAUGUGCGAAAUCACCAUAGGCAACUUAUUCGGCUCCUCUGUUUCAAUCCGGAAAAUUUCACCAUUUUCACACUUUAAUUCAAGAAUUUUCUGUCUACAAUUCACCUUGGCAUCAUGUAAUAUCAACCAAUCCAUCCCCAAAAUAACAUCGAACUCAUCAAAUGGUAACAACAUCAAAUUAGCCAGGAAACAGUGACCUUGAAUCAUCAGGGGGCAAUUCUUGCAAAUCUUAUCAACUAAGACAUACUUGCCUAAUGGAUUUGAUACUUUAACUACAUAUUCAGUGUUUUCAACAGGCAAUUUCUUACUAGAUACCAAUUUCGUGCAUACAUAUGAAUGAGUAGAGCCGGGAUCAAUCAAAGCAAUAACAUCUAUAUCAUGAAGAGAAAAUGUACCAGUAAUCACAUCGGGAGAUGAGGCAUACUCUCGAGCACGUAUGGCAUAAGUCCUGACAGGUGCUCUAAUUUCUGAUCCUCCAGCUGCAUCUUUCAUCACACUUUUACAACUGACUUUGCUUCCCACAUUUCUCGGCGGUCUCCCUCUACUAACAAUAUCACCUGAUCUAGCACUUGGCAAAUUUUCUUCCUCUCUUCUCUCAGGGCAAUCUCUUACAUAAUGCUCUUGGGAACCACACCUGAAACAAGCUCGUUUAAAUCCCCAACACUCACCAAUAUGUCGCCUGCCACACUGUUGACAUUCAGGCCGGGUGUUUCCUACAUUGCCCACACUUGCUACAGAGGUAGCUCGAGUUGUAGCUCCAGAAUACGACCUCUCUCGGUCUCUGCGUGAAUACCCAACUGAACCAGUUGGUCGUGGAUCCAUCCCUUUAAACUUCUUCGAAUGAGAUUGAAAUGUUCUGCCCAUUGUCCUCUUCCUUACAUCUCGAGAUUCCAUCUCUGCCCUUCUCUUUUCUCUACUCAGUUCUUCAGCUUUACAGGCCCGAUCAACUAACACCACAAAUUCUUUUAACUCUAAAAUCCCAACAUGCAAUCUGAUGUCUUCAUUUAGCCCCUCUUCAAAUCUUUUACACAUAAUAGCCUCCGUAGGCACACAUUCCUGGGCAUAUUUACUAAGUCGAACAAACUCCCGUUCAUAUUCUGCUACGGACAUUCGGCCCUGUUUCAACCCGAGAAACUCUUUGCGUUUUUGAUCAAUAAAUCGUUGGCUUACAUAUUUCUUUCUAAAUUCUUCCUGAAAGAAGUCCCAAGUAACUCUUUCUUUUGGAACCACCGAUAUCAAUGUUUUCCACCAAUGAUAUGCCGAAUCCUUCAAUAAAGACACAGCACAUUUCAAACAUUCUUCAGGGGUGCAAGAUAAUUCAUCAAAUACCCGAAUAGUAUUUUCAAGCCAAAACUCGGCUUUUUCCGGAUCAUCAUCAACAUUGGCCCUAAAAUCUUCAGCCCCAUGCUUUCGAAUUCUAUCAACAGGUGGCUUACUUGAUCUCACCAAUUCGGCACUCCGUGGAGCUACGGGGACCGGUUGAGGAAUAGGAGGGGGUGGAGGAGGAGGAACAUUCGGAUUUACACGGACAUAUUCUAUAUACCAAUCACUCAUCAUUCGGAGGAAGGCUUCCCGAGCCUCAUCCUGUCCAUGUGUCUCAUGUCUACUCUCUUCCUGCGCGGUCCCUUGCGCGAGAGCCGACGCGUUACUUUCAACAUCAUCUGCCACACUUCGAUCAGGAUCCAUUUACUAUAUAAAACAAAAUUUUAAAUUGUCAGAAAUCAUCACACUAUCACAAUAAUUUUAUGGCAUGUAUAGACUGACUUCCACACGUAUUUUAUUGGCCCGAGAACCGACUAAACCGUAGCUCUGAUACCACUAAAAUGUAACACCCCUUACCCGUAUUCCUUACCGGAACAGAGUAUGAGGUAUUACUAAAUUUUUAAAAAUUUUCGACAGCAUUCCUACUUAUUUUUGCUUAAACCUCCUGCAAAUUUAGAACACAUUCCAAUAUACCAACCAAUUUCAUUUGUAUAAACACACAUAUAGUUUAACUAUUAAUAAACACUACAUUUAAAAGGGAACCAUAACAUAUAUUUACAUGAUGAUCCCACAUUACAUAAAGUGUCUAUACAUGCCAUAAAAUUUCGGAACACUAGUAGUAAAAUACCCCAAAUGUGAAGGAUAGUGUAGAUGAUUGUCUGACUUCGUUCCAAUUUCCGAGUUGUUGGAAGUCACUAUAACCAAGAGAAAAAUAAAAUUGAGUAAGCAUAUAGCUUAGUAAGUAAACACAUGAUAAAUAAGUAAUUACUCCCAUAACUACACCAAAAUAUAAACUUAUUCAUGAAUAACUUUAUUGUUUAGGCAAUUUCCAGCAAGCUGUUUUUCUGCAUCAUAGUCGCUAAUUUAUUUUUAUCUGGAGCUACAGAGCUCCAAAUUGAGUUCCGUAAAUUUUUCCUGAAACUAGACUCAUAUACCAUUUCACCAUAAAAAUUUUAGAAUUUUUAACCCAGCCAAUUAGUACAGUUUAUUCAUUAAACCUUCCCCUGUUUCACUGCCCAAUGGUUCUGACCCUUCCUCACUAAAAUUUACUUAACUCUCUGUACAAAAUUUGAAAAAUGGUUUUUCUUGUUUCUAAUAAAAAUAGACUCAAUAAGGAUUCCAGGGAUAUAAAUUUCAUGCCAUAAUUUUUUUUUUCAAUUUUUGGUAAUUUUCCAAAGUUAGAACAGGGGAUCUCGAAAUCAAUCCAGCCCUGUUUCAGUAAAAUUCAGAUAUCUCCAAAAAUACAACUCUUUUGCUUAUUCUAUUUCUUUCAUAUGAAAAUAGACACAUUCAGCUUCAAUUUUAUAUAUUAUUCAGCUUCCCAUUCAUUUUCCACCAUUUAUGGUGAUUUUUCAAAGUUACCCAACUGCUGUUGUUCAACACAGUUUAUAAUUAAAUCGUUCCUUUUGCGUUUUUGAUAUUUUCUCCCAUCUCAUACAUGGGUCGAUUUAGUAUUCAACUCAAUAUUUACCCCAUAAAAUUUUCCACCAUAUGGAAAUAUUCAUCUUUCACACUUUUUCGUUGAACACUUGGAAUGUUAACCGUUAUUGGUGGAUCUCGCACUUAGCACCACCGCUGAAUCGGGGAAUCAGCACUUAGCAACCCCUCGGGGGAAUCAGCACAUAGCAACCCCCUUUCACAUUUCAAAGAUAUGGUGGAUAUCGCACUUAGCACCACCAAUGAACCGGGGAAUCAGCACUUAGCAACCCCUCGGGGGAAUCAGCACAUAGCAACCCCCUUUUCACAUUUCAAAGAUAUGGUGGAUCACGCACAUAGCACCACCAAUGAAUCGGGGAAUCAGCACACAGCAACCCCUUUAUAUACAACAUACUCCGGCUUAUUCCGAGUGUUCAACCCAUAAACCAUAUAUUGCAACCCUUUACCACCUUUCCCGAUUUAACAACAUUUUUAGGAUAUGGCCAAACAUUUAUUUUAAUUCCAAAUAAAUCUCAACAUAUAUCAAAUAAUAUCAAAAUAAUACAUUAAGUCACAUGUUUACUUACCUCGGUGCAAAAUAUCGUAAUUUUGCACUUUACUCCCCUAUCUUUUCUUUUCCCCGUUUGAUAUACUCUUCACGUCUUUCUUGAUCUAUAAUAGCAAAUUUAACUCGUUUAAUAUUCACAUUUAUUAAAAUAAUCCACCACCCAACUUUUUGAAAAUUACAAUUUUGCCCCAAAACUUUUGCAUAAUUACACUUUUGUCCCCAAGCUCGGAAAUUAAACUUCAUCACUUAUUCUUAAGUUUUAUAACAUGCUGAACAUUUUUCCCUUCUAUGGAAACAUCAAAUUCCCACUCCAACACAUACUUUUGAAUAUUAAUUAUUUUUACCGAUUAUGUCUAUUUACCCGUUUUCGCUUAAAAUUGCUUAGCAAAAGUUGUUUAACAUAAUCUCUAGCUUCAUAUUCCACCAUAAAACAACAAAAUAAACACAUUUCACCUAUGGAUAUUUUUCCAAAUAUGAACCCUAACAUGAAUUAAUGGUAGAAUAAGCUAAACCAAGUUACCGGGACUCCAAAAAUACGAAGAACAUUAAAAACGGGGCUUAGAAUCACUUACUAUGGAGCUUGAAAGCUUAAAAACCCUAAAUAUGGCUUCCCCCUUGCUGAUUUCGUUCACCAUGAAGAAGAUGAGCAUAUUUUGCCAUCUUUUUCCCAUUUAAUUCUAUUUAAUAACCAAAUGACUAAAAUGCCCCCAUUUAAAAAAAAUCUAUUUCACCCAUUUCUUAUGUCUAUUUUUGUCCAUCAACUAACUAAUGGUCUAAUUACCACAUAAAGACCUCCAAUUUAAAAUUUCAUAACAAUUAGACACCUCUAAGAUGUAGAACUCAACUUUUGCACUAUUUACAAUUUAGUCCUUUUGACUAAAUUGAGUGCCCAAACGUCGAAAUUUUCGAACGAAAUUUUUACGAAAAUUUUCCGUGAAAUUGUAGAUCAUAAAAAUAUAAUAAUAACCAUAUUUUCCCUCGUCGGAUUUGUGGUCCCGAAACCACUAUUCCGACUAGGCCCAGAAUCGGGCUGUUACAAAGAACCAUUUUGAGAUUCGGGUCAACAAUCCAUUAUUGUUGGUUCAUUCUCGGUCUUAGCCAAUUAAUUCGUUAUUGUUUCUUAUCUAUUUUGUCUACCGCCUUUGUUUGAAGCCAUUAUCUCUAUUUUGUUUACUUUAAAUUGAAACGGAUCUAUCCUUCUCAAUUCACGAUCGAGCAACUCAAAUACGACUCGACUCAACACCGAGGCAGUUCGUAUCACUUUAGCUCAAUGAACUAAUAACUUGACUCUGAUACUCGGGUAACUAUACCACACUAGGGGCAUUAUAGAUGCAUAACAGGGGCAUCAAAGUGCAAUCAAGAGCACGAAUGUGCAAUCAGGGGCACCAAAGUGCAAUCAGGGGAACAAAUGUGCAUUUAGGGGUAUCGAAGUACAAACAGGGGCACAAAUGUGCAUUCAGGGGUUCUGAAGUACAAACAGGGGCACUUCUUCAUUUCUGAAUACAUACUUAAAUUCAUCUAAUUCACAUAUAACUUUAAUACAAUUCCAAGAAAAAGACUACUAAUAAUCUAUUCUCAAUAUCAUAUAUACAUAAGUAUUUGCAACACUCAUUAUUAUAAAAUAACCGAAGUAAUUUCACAUAUAUAUAAAUCAAUUAACUAGAGAACAACAAUAAUAAUCACAAGUGAAUUACAUUAAAUAAUAAAUCAAUAUGAACUUACCUGGCUAAAUUGUAGCAAUGACUAAUUAUAGGGGUUAUUUGGUAAUUUUCUCUUUUCCUUUAUUUUCAUCUCAUUUUCAAUCUAAAAUAAUAAUUCCAUUCAAUUCAUUAAUUCAAAUAGCAAAACCAAUUAAUUUUAUGCAAUUUAGUUCUUUUUGAAAUUUUUACAAAAUUACCCUUACUUUUCAUUUUUAUUCAAUUUAGUCCCUAUGUCCUAAUCAUGCAAAUAAACCAAUUUUAUUAAAAAUUCAUACCAGUCAAAUAUUAAUAGCAUCCAUCAUAGCCCACAUUGGUAACAAUUUCACACUAAGUCCUUGUAUUUUACUAUUUCAACAAUUUAAUCCCUAAUCGUUAAAUUCACCAAAAUCAUUUAACAAAAUACUUAUAACAACUAAUACCUCAAAUUCAUCAAUGGAAACAUUCAAAAUCUUUAACAAUUUCAGAAAUAAAGGUACGAGCUAGUUGGACCUAGUUGCAAUGAUCUCAAAAUUAUAAAAAUUACAAGAAAUUGAGUAACAAAUCAUACCAUGCAAGGAUAAAAAAGGACGACCGAAGCUCCCAACUUGUUUAUCCAUGGUUUUCGAUGAAGAACAUAAUAGGUGAAGAAGAUUACAUUGAAUUAUGUUUCUUUUAUUAUUAUUAACUUUAUUAAAUUAACAUAUUUUAACAAAUAAAUAUAAUUUAAUACAUAUUUACUUAGAAAAUCACCCAUGUGCCGUCCACCAUAAUUUAAUUAUGAUUUAUUUACAACAUAAACCCCUCAAUCAUAACUAAUUAGACCAUUAAACUAAGAAAAUUAAUAGCAAGCAACUUUUAUAACUUUUACAGUUUAAUCCUUUUUCUUUAAUUAACCAUUUAAACGUCAAAAUUUCUUAACGAAACUUUAAUACGACCUUAAUAACACACCAUAAAUAUUUAAUAAAAUAUUUACAAGCUCGGUUUAUAGAAAUGAGGUCUUGAUACCUCAUUUUCUAAAGCCACUUUGCUCUAAGGUCUUACCACUUGAACUUAAUUAUUCAUUCAAAUAACAUAAUUUUCCUAUUCAAAAUUUAUUUUAAUACAAUAAUUGACUCGUAGAUAUUAAAUAAUAAUAUUUAUGGGCUCACUUGUCGAAUUUGUGGCCACGAAACCACUAUUUUCGACACCACUGAAAAAUAGGUUGUUAGAAUAAUGGCAUGUAUAGGUGGACUAAUGUUAAUGUCCUAGUUGUUAUGUUUGGCUUGUAAAUAUGGUAAAUUAGUUGGUGUGUUUUUGGCACUUUGAUGCUAUACUGGUUGAAGUUUAUAUGGUCAAAUUGAUGUAUGGUUUUGUGACCAAAGUGGUAAGUGUUGGCAUGUUUGAAAUGUGGCUAAUUAGGUUAUGUUUGAUAUGGAAUUUAGCUGAGUUUGUUUUGGUAUGGCAAUAAGUAGUUGUGUAUGCUUGAAUUAUGGAUAAAUAUGCUUUUGCUAAGACAUGCUCAGUGGUUAUGAUUGAGGUGCCUUCUGGCAUGUUGGUUGUAUGGAUAUUUGGUACAGAGGUUUGGUCAUUUUAUGCAUGCCUUGGACAUGAUUUAGGGUCUUAGUUAUAUGUACAAAUGUGUUAUAGGUUCAUGCUUAAAUUGGGUGAAAGAAAUGGCUUGAUUUUGGCCUAUUUCUUGUCCACAAGGCCACAAACACUGGCAUCUGUCUUAGCCAUGUGUCCCCUGUAGAUUUCAAAGGGUUACAAGUUAGAUAGUUACACAACCUGGCACACGGGCGUGUGGCUUGGCCGUGUGACCCAAGUCAGAGAGUUACACGGGCAUGGGCACGAGCUAGGACACAGCCGUGAGUCCCUAUUUCGAAUGUUACAUAGCCUGAGACAAGGGAGUGUGUCUCAGCCGUGUGAGGCACACGACCGUGUUAACAUGACUUAUUCUAACUUUUUCUUUAAGGUUUCAUAUGUUCCCGAUUUAGUCUCGAAUAGUUUUUAAAGUAUUUCUAAGGCCUCGAAGGAUCGAAUAAGGGACGAUAUGCAUGUGUUUCCAUGAAUUAUGCUACGAUUUAUCUAAUGUUUGAGAAUUAUUGUUUUAAGUUAUGAUUUUUUGGAAAUGCUCCCUAACCCUAUUUCAGCGAUGGAUACGGGUUAGUGGUGUUACAGAUACUCUGCUAAGGGCAGAUAUUGUUCCCAACUACCACUAAACUCGAUCACACAGCUUCGCAACAUAUCUUCUACAACUUGUAUUACCCUUUUAGACUGACCAUCUGUUUGAGGAUGAUAAGCCGUACUAAGAUUAAGCUUCGAUCCCAAAGUUUCUUGCAAACUCUUCCAAAACCUUGAAGUAAACUUAAGAUCCAUGAAGAUGAACAAUCUCAGCAAUAUACAACUCUGCCAACUUCUGCAACAAAUAAUUGGUUCGCACCACUAAGAAAUGCGCACUCUUCGAAAACCAAUCAACUAUAACCCAUGCUGAAUCUUUCCUCGAAGGAGUCAAUGGCAAACGAAAAACAAAAUCCAUAGUAAUACUUUCCCACUUCCUUUCAGGAAUCGCAAUAGGUUGCAAUAACCCAAAAGGAAAUUGAUGUUUAACUUUCACCUUUUGAUAAACCAAACAUUGAGCCACAAAAUCCGUAACAUCACGCUUCAACCCAUGCCACCAAUAAAUCUCACGAAGAUCAUAAUACAUUUUAUGACUACUGAGAUGCAUAGUGUAAGGUCUACUAUGUGCCUCAGUAAGGAUCACUUGUCUUAAAUCCACAUAUUGCGGCACACACAACCUACCUCAGAAAUUCAAGAUAUCAUCACUGUCAACAUCAAAAUCUCCCUUAAUACCUUGUUCAACCUAUCGAAUCCUCUUCAUUAAUUCCCCAUCCAAAGGCUGUUUCUCCUUAAUUUUUUGUGACAAAGUCAGCCUCACUUGCAGUUUAGCUAGCAAUCCACCAUUCCUACCCACACUUAAACGUGUAAAUAUAACUCUCAACGCCGCCAUCAACUUUCUACUUAAAGCAUCAGCAACAACAUUCGCCUUGCCAGGAUGAUACUAUAUACAAAUAGAUGUUUUGAUAUUUGCUCGGUAUAUGAUAUGUACUGAUAAAUGUUUAAAAAUGUUUUAAGUAUUUGGAUGAUAUAAAAUUUUGAUUAGUUAAAUGGUAAUGAAAGGGUUGAAAUUCGAAACAUUAUUUGAAAAUGUAAUUUAAUUAGUAAAGCAUGAUUGAUAUUUGGUGUGGAUUGUUAAUGACCUAUGUUUUGACAAAUAAAUUGUUUUGAUCAUUAGGUGAGAUAAAUUAGGGUUUAAAUAUAUAUAUUUACAUACACAUGACGCAUAUUUAUAUACAGCUAUGGUAUUUGGUUCAUUUUGUUAAGUAUGAGAUUUUGAUAUUUAGUAAUGCUUCGUAACCCUAACAGAUACGGGUUAGGGGUGUUACAUUUGAUUGGUAUUAGAGCUACAGUUUAGUCGAUUCUAGGACUACUGUAGCGUGUGAGUCUAGCUAUACAUGCCAUAUAUAUAAACUGCGAUGGUGUGAUGAUUCCUGACAAUUAAAAUGUGUUUUUUCUAUAGUAAAUGGAUCCCGAUCGAGUUGUAGUUGACGAUGUUGAAAGUAAUGCACCCACUCAAGGGGUAGUACCAGCUGAUUCUAGAGUUGUUGUUAGUAGCCAAGAGGGAGAGGCAAAGAAAGCCUUCUUCUAGAUGAUGAAUGAGUGGUUUUCAGAGUUCGUUCGAAUGAAUCCGGCUGCUCAACAAUCUCCACCCCCGCUUAAUCCUCCCCAAAUACUUGUGAUACCUCAAGCUACUGAUCCGAUGCGAUUAAGUAAGCCUCUGGUUGAUAAAAUUAGAAAAUAUGGGGUCGAAGAGUUUAGAGCUACUAUUGAUGAUGAUGCCGAGCGAGCUGAAUUCUGGCUUGAUAAUACGAUUCGGGUGUUUGAUGAUUUAUCUUGUACUCUUGAUGAAUGUAUUAAAUGUGUUGUAUCUUCGUUAAGGGACGCUUUAUAUCACUGGUGGAAUACGCUAGUAUCAGUGGUUCCAAAAGAAUGAGUUACUUGGGAGUUCUUUCAGACUGAAUUCUGGAAGAAAUAUAUCAGCUAGAGAUUUAUAGAUAAAAAACGCAAAGAAUUCCUUGAGUUAAAAUAGGGUCACAUGACAGUGACAGAAUAUGAGCGGGAAUUUGUGAGACUCAGUAGAUAUGCCCGAGAAUGUGUUUUGACUGAAGCUAUAAUGUGUAAAAGAUUUGAAGACGGUUUGAAUGAAGACAUUAAGCUGUUAGUCAGAGUUUUGGAAAUAAAAGAGUUUGUGGUACUUGUCGAGCGAGUGUGCAAAGCUGAAGAGCUUGAGAAAGAGAAAAAAACCUGACUUUGAAGCUAGAGAUUCGCGAAAAGGAUCAUCAAGUAUGUAACACCCCGAACCCGAAACCGACACCGGAGUCGAACACGAGGUGUUAACUGACUUUAACCCCUUAUAAAAUUUAUUUUCCAGACACUGCCCAAUCUGUGUACUAGUCGUUUUAAAAAUCAUAUCUUGAGUUUCGUAACUCAAAAAUCAGUUUCGUAAUUUUUCCCAGAAACUAGACUCAUGUGCCCAUCUAUGUAUUUUUUUCUAGAAUUUUUGGUCGUGCCAAUUAGUACAGUUUAUUAGUCAAAGUCUCACAUGUUGCAGGGGUCGACUACACUGACCUUUGCCCAUUACGACUUGGAUAUCUCCCUGCACGGGUCUUCAAUACUGAUACCGUUUGUUUCUAUGAAAACUAGACUCAGAGAGGAAUCUAUACAUAUAUGGUACGACCCCUAAUUAUCUCUGGUUAAUUUAUAAUGAAUUUCCAAAUUCGGAGCAGGGAAUCCAGAAACCGUUCUGGCCCUGUCCCACAAAAAUCUGAUUAUCUCUUAAUAUACUGCCCAUAUGAUCUUUUAGUUACUUCCUCAUGAAAACAGACUCAUCGAGCUUCGAUUACAUAAUUUAUUCAUCAAUUAAUUCCACUCCUACUAUUUUUAGUGAUUUUUCAAUCUCAUGACACUGCUGCUGCCAGCAUCUGUUACGAAAGUAACUAGGUACAUUUCAUGCCUACCCUUGAUCCAACUCAAUCGAACAUUCGUGCCAUUUUCGCAUGGCUUAAAGUUUACAUGCCAAAGUUCAAACACAACGUAAUAGCUUAUACAUGCCAAAAUGUUCUUCUAAGCCAACUAAGAAGAAAGUACCAAAACUUGCUAUCCGGUGUGAUGACUUCGAUGACGGCCUGACCCCGCAAAAAUAGAUGAGUCCAAGCAACCUAUAAUGGGUGACAAGGAAACACCGAGUGAGUUUAUAACUCAGUAAGUCAUAAGCUAUGCACUACCAUCCAUCAAUAACAUUAUCACAAGAGAAAACAAAAUGGAACGAGGCUAAUUACUCCAUCCAUUCCGAACCAUACCAUAGUUCCUCCAACCUAUCGAUUCAAUUUCAUAUCAAUUCAUGCAUUCACAUUCCAUAUACUCAUCAAUAGGACAUUGAAGCAUUUUCAUAAAUCAAUUUAUUUUCGUUACAAUCAAACGACUAAACGGCCUUUCACCCAUUCUACGAUAAAUUUUAUGUACGUGACUUCAAGUAUGGUUGUCACAUAGGUUCAAACUUACCGAGCUCAACACCAAGUAUAAGCAUAGCACCUAUUAGCCAUGUACUCAAGACACUUACCCGAUCCGCUGUCCGCGAUCGACUCAAUAGUGUCGCACACAUAGUGUCCAUAAUGAUUCACGAAUGCAUAUUGAGUCCACACACUCAGUGCUAUAUAAUCAACUCGCACACUUAGUGCUACGUAAUCAAAUCGCACACUUAGUGCUACAUAGUCAAACUCGCACACUUAGUGCCGCAUGGUCAAUUCGCACACUUAGUGCAUCAUAUUCAUUUCGCACACUUAGUGCAACAUAGUCAAAUCGCACACUUAGUGCUGUACAAUUUAAUCCCGCGCACUUAGCGCCAAUCUCAUGGUCAUAAAUGGUUAUACCCGCACGUUUAGUGCCGAGAUCAACAACUCAGUACAUCUUACCUCUUUUCUUUUCAUUCAACAAUUUCAUCAUCACAUACGUACAUGCAUAUAUAUAUAUAUGUAUAUUUAUUCAUUCCAUUCAGCAUCAAUACAUAAACAUUAUGACCAUUUGAAAUAAUACCAACUACAUGCUUAAUGACUUACCUUGUGUUGGGUAAGACGGUUCCAACUCGACUACUCAGUGAUCUUUUCUUUGCCUUUAUCGGAUCUAGUUCCCUUUUGCUCUUGAGCUUAAGUUCAACAAAAUUUAAAAUAGUCAUUAAUCGACUAUUCAAGUAUUACUUUCAGAAUAAUAUAUAUAUUGAUUUGACCUUCACACACAUAGAUUAUAGUAAGCUUUAUAAUAGUCAAUAAAUAACUCAUUGGCAAAUUUUCAUUAAUGUUUACAACAAAAUCACAUAUUCACUACGAGCUGUUUUCCUGAGCAGUAGUCGCUAAAUUGUUUAUAACUGGAGCUACAAAACUCCAAAUCACUAGCCGUUAAUUUUCCCUGAAUAUAGACUCGUAUAUCUUCCAUCCAUAAAAUUUUCAGAAUUUUUGGCUUGGCCAAUCAAUACCAGAUUUUUCUUAAAGUUUCCCCUGUUUCACUGUUUGACUAUUCUGACCACUCUUCACUACGAAUCAAAUUUCUCAUUUUACAGAAUUCAAAAUGUGUUGUAUUUGAUCUCAUUUGAAACUAGACUCAUUAAGGAGUCUAAGCAUAUAAAUUUUAUCUUAUAAUCAUUUUUGUACAAUUUAUAAUGAUUUCCUAAAAACAGAACAGGGAAUCUAGUAGUCAUUUUGACUCAGCCCCACAAUACUUCAAAUAUCUCAAGAUCGGUAACUCUUUUGUUUUUAUAGUUUCUUUUGUAAGAAAAUAGACUCUUCAAGAUUUAAUGGCAUAAUUCACUCAGCUUCUAAUUCAACUCCUACAAAUUAUGGCGAUUUUCCAAAAUCACCUUACUGCUGCUGUCCCCAAACAGAUUAUUACCAAAUCAAAUACUAACAUUAGCAUUUCACCUUAAUAGCUAGCUUACCAAGCCUUAAUUUAACAUAUUAAUCUUUAACAUAUCUUUCACUUUUCAUCAACAACUAUCAAAAAGCUCAAGCACUCAUCAAUGGCAAAACACAAAAUCAUCAUCAAUCCACAAAAUUGAACCAUGGGUUUUUAGAACUCAAGUCAACUACUAAAACAUGCAUGCAUCUCAAGAACAACAUCAAACAUACCUUAGUCUAGCAAACCACCAUAGCCGAUUUUCUCAAGCUCUUCCCCUUCCUUUCUUUCCUCUAUUCGGCCAAAGGUGUUCAAGAAUGAACACAUUUUUUUUUUUGUUUUCUUUCCUCAACUCACGGCAACAAGGGGGGGGGUAUGGAUGAGACCAUUUUUUUUUUCAUCACCCUUCCUUUUCAUUGUUUAAUUACCAUGCUCUUUAUUUUAUUUUUCUUAGCAUACAUCACUAGCAUAACAUGUUGGUGACAUGUUUCCACCCAUAGCAUGGCCAGCCACUAUGCUUUAAUUUGGCUAAUUUGACAUGCAAGGACAAACACUUUCCCACAUAUAUUAAUGGGCCACUUGAACACUUGCCUAGCAUAUUUCUAAAUUGUCUCACAUAAGUCCCUACUAAUAAAUUCCACAUACACUGACCAAAUUAAAGUAUGGAACUAUCACACAAGCAUUUACGCACAUCAUAAACACAGAAUAUAAUCUUUAAUUAUUUAUAAGACUCGGUUUUGUGGUCCCGAAACCACUUCCCGACUAGGGUCAAUUUUGGGCUGUCACAACUCUCCCCCACUUAAGAAAUUUUCGUCCCCGAAAAUCUUACCGGUAAAUAGGUUUGGAUAUCGUUCUUUCAUCGAGCUCUCGGUUUCCCAAGUAGCUUCCUCGAUCCCGUGUUUGAGCCAUAACACCUUUACUAGCGGAACUCUUUUGUUUCGUAACUCCUUCACUUCACGAGCUAGGAUACGCAUCGGUUCUUCUUCAUAACUCAUAUCGGCUUGAAUUUCAACCUCUGAUGGGCUAAUUAUGUGCGAUGGAUCAGAUCUAUAGCGUCGAAGCAUCGAAACAUGAAAGACGUCAUGGAUCUUUUCAAGCUCAGGGGGCAAAAUCAAUCUAUACGCAACUGGCCCCACUCGUUCGGAGAUUUCGUACGGCCCAAUGAAUCUCGGGCUCAACUUGCCCUUACGGCCAAACCUAAGUACCUUUUUCCAAGGCGAAACUUUAAGAAACACUUUAUCUCCCACCUGAUAUUCAAUGUCUUUUCGUUUCAAAUCCGCAUACGAUUUCUGACGAUCUGUGGCUGCUUUCAGACUUUCACGGAUUACCUUUACUUUCUGUUCGGCAUCUUUAAUCAAAUCAACUCCGAAAAUUUUACUUUCACCGAGCUCGGUCCAAAACAAUGGUGUACGGCAUUUACGACCGUACAAAGCCUCGUAAGGUGCCAUCUUAAUACUUGAUUGAAAACUAUUGUUGUAAGCGAAUUCAAUCAAAGGUACAUACCGUUCCCAUGAACCACUAAACUCAAGGAUGCAGCAUCUCAGCAUAUCCUCGAGUAUCUGAAUUAUCCGCUCGGAUUGACCAUCGGUUUGGGGAUGAAAAGCGGUGCUAAAAUGCAGCUUGGUACCCAAAGCUUCUUGCAAUUUCUUCCAAAAUCGCGAGGUGAAUCUCGGAUCUCUAUCCGACACGAUAGAAAUAGGUACUCCAUGUAACCUCACAAUCUGAGAAACAUACAAUUCGGCUAGUUUAUCCAAUGAAAAAUCCGUACGCACGGGGAUAAAGUGAGCCGACUUAGUCAGCCUAUCAACAACAAUCCAAAUCGCAUCCUUCUUACUUGCGGACAAUGGCAGUCCGGACACAAAGUCCAUUGUGACUCGGUCCCAUUUCCACUCGGGUAUCAUGAUCGGCUGAAGUAACCCUGAAGGCACUUGAUGUUCCGCUUUCACUUGUUGACAUAUUAAACAUCUCGAAACAAAGUCGGAGAUGUCUCGUUUCAUACCAUGCCACCAAAACCGACGUUUCAAGUCGUUGUACAUUUUCGUGCUCCCCGGGUGAAUUGACAUUCGGCUACAAUGGGCUUCGUUCAGAAUCAUCGGAAUGAGUUCCGAAUUCCUUGGAACACACAAAUGACUUCUAAACCUCAAACAACCAUCAUCAUCAAUCUGAAACUCCGAUUCCUUGUUCGGAACACACUCAGCUCGUUUUGCAACCAAUUCAUCAUCGACUUCCUGAGCUUCAAGAAUUUGAUGAGUCAAUAAUGGUUUGGCUUUUAAUUCAGCUACUAACACAUUGUCAGAUAGAACAGACAAGUGUACAUUCAUCGCUCGCAAAGCAAACAGUGAUUUUCGGCUUAAGGCGUCCGCAACCACAUUAGCCUUUCCCGGGUGGUAAUCAAUGACAAGCUCGUAAUCUUUCAACAACUCAAGCCAACGUCUUUGUCGCAGAUUCAAGUCUCGUUGAGUCAUCAAAUAUUUGAGACUUUUGUGAUCCGAAAACACAUGGCACUUCUCACCAAACAAAUAAUGUCGCCAUAUUUUCAAUGCAAACACAAUGGCGGCUAGUUCGAGAUCAUGGGUCGGAUAAUUUCUCUCGUGUGGCUUUAAUUGUCUUGACGCAUAGGCCACAACUCGACCUUCUUGCAUCANNNNNNNNNNNNNNNNNNNNNNNNNNNNNNNNNNNNNNNNNNNNNNNNNNNNNNNNNNNNNNNNNNNNNNNNNNNNNNNNNNNNNNNNNNNNNNNNNNNNNNNNNNNNNNNNNNNNNNNNNNNNNNNNNNNNNNNNNNNNNNNNNNNNNNNNNNNNNNNNNNNNNNNNNNNNNNNNNNNNNNNNNNNNNNNNNNNNNNNNNNNNNNNNNNNNNNNNNNNNNNNNNNNNNNNNNNNNNNNNNNNNNNNNNNNNNNNNNNNNNNNNNNNNNNNNNNNNNNNNNNNNNNNNNNNNNNNNNNNNNNNNNNNNNNNNNNNNNNNNNNNNNNNNNNNNNNNNNNNNNNNNNNNNNNNNNNNNNNNNNNNNNNNNNNNNNNNNNNNNNNNNNNNNNNNNNNNNNNNNNNNNNNNNNNNNNNNNNNNNNNNNNNNNNNNNNNNNNNNNNNNNNNNNNNNNNNNNNNNNNNNNNNNNNNNNNNNNNNNNNNNNNNNNNNNNNNNNNNNNACAAUCCGAGCGAAUUAUUCAAAUACUCGAGGAUAUGUUACGAUGUUGCAUUCUUAAGUUUGAAGGUACAUGGGAAAAUUAUUUGUCGUUGAUUGAAUUUGCGUAUAAUAGCAACUUCUAAUCGAGUAUUAAAAUGGAACGUUAUGAAGCUUUAUACAGUCGCAAGUGCCGAACACCUUUGUAUUGGAUUGAACUUAGUGAGAAUAAGAUUCACGAGGUCGAUUUGAUUAAAGAGACUAAAUAAAAAGUGAAAAUGAUCCGUGAUAGUCUUAAGGCAGCGUCAGAUCGUUAGAAAUCGUACUUGACUUGAAACGAAAAGAUAUUGAGUUUCAGAUUGGGGAUCGAGUGUUUUUGAAAGUAUCUUUGUGGAAAAGAAAUACUUAGAUUUGGAAAAAAUAGCAAGUUAAGUCCAAGAUUCAUCGGGCCGUAUGAAAUUAUUGAGCGUAUCAGACCGGUUGCUUAUAGAUUGUUGUUGCCACCUAAAUUAGAAAAGAAUCAUAAUGUAUUUCAUGUAUCGAUGCUUCGAUGAUAUCGAUCUGAUCCCUCACAUGUUAUUUCCCCAUCCGAGAUUGAGAUUCAGUCUGAUAUAAAAUAUGAAGAAGAACCGAUUCGAGUUUUACAUCGCGAGGUUAAAGAACUAAGGAAUAGGAAAAUUUCUUUAGUGAAAGUCUUAUGGCAUUGACACGGGGUUGAAGAAGCUGCAUGGGAACUUGAGGAUGCUAUGAGAAUGCAAUAUCUAAACUUAUUCAUUGGUAAGAUUUUCGGAGACGAAAAUUCCUAACGGGGGAGAGUUGUAACAACCCGGUUUAAGCUAAAUCAGAACAGUGGUUUUGAAACCAUAAAUUCGAAGUUGUGAAAUUAUUUUAAUAUUAUUUUUGGUAUUUAUAGCAUGUUAUUUGAUAUGUGUAAAAAUUUUGUGAUUUAGUUUUACUGAUUGGUUAGUUAAUUUGAUAAAAGGACUAUUUACCAUCCCGUUGAACCACUUGGAUACUAAGGAUACUCGGGUCUCCUCUCUAAUAAUAACAUGCCAAAGCCAUGUCCUAGACAUUGUCUUACAUGGGAUGUUUCCUGUACUGCAAAUGUCAUAUCCCAGAUUUGGUCUUACAUGAGAGUUCUCAUAUCGGUGCCCAUGGCAUGUCCCAGACAUGGUCUUACGGGGGACCUCUCAUCAUGGUGCCAACUCCAUGUCCCAGACAUGGUCUUACAUGGGAUCUCAUUCCCUUAAUGUCAUGACAUUUGUAUCUGAUACAUUUCUAAUGUUUCAAUGAGAUUUUUUUAACACUGAUUCUCUAUCAUUUCAUACUUGAGUUAACAUUAAAUAAUCUCAUGAAAUAAUUACAUAAUCGUUGGAAAAUAACAACAUUAAUAAUAAUUAUUGAAAUAUUGCAUUUAUUUACUGUAAACUUACUUCGGUACAAAAUACGAUUAAAUCUAGCAACUUAGUCCUCAACCUUUUGCUUUCCCUAUUCUAACUCCGGAUUUUGUUCCUCUUGAUCUAUAAUAGCAAAUUUAGCUUAUUUAAUACUCACAUUCAUCAAAACAAUCCUUGACUCAAACUUUGGAAAAAUCACAAUUUGCCCCUAAACUUUUGCAUAUUUACACUUUUGCCCCAAAGCUUAAAAAUUAAACUUCAUCCGUUAUCCUUAUGUUUUAUGACAUGCUGAACAUCUUUCCCUUUUAUGGCAUCAUCAAAUUCCCAUUCUAACAUAUACUUAUGAACAUUAGGUAUUUUUACUAAGUAUGUCGUUUUACUUGUUUUCACUUAAAAUCCCCUAACAAAAGUUGUUUAACAUAAUUUCAAGCUUCAUAUUUUACCAUAAAACAUCAAAAUAAACACAUUUCACCUAUGCGUAUUUUUCCAAAUAUGAAUCCUAACAUGAAUUAAUGAUAGAAUAAGCUAAAUUGAGCUACGAGGACUCCAAAAACGUAAAAAAAAAUUAAAAACGGGGCUUGGAUAUUUUGCCAUUUUUUCCCUUUUAAUUCUUUUUAUUACCAAAUGACUAAAAUGCCCUUCAUUAAAACUUUAGUUAUUUUUAUCUAUGCAUGCCCAUUAUUGUCCAUGAAAAUCUAAUGGUCUAAUUACCAUUUCAGGACCUCUACUUCAAUUAUGCACUUCAAUUAAAUCAUUUAUCAUCUAAAGCUCAUUGUUACCCACUUUUGCAAUUAAACCCUGAUAUGCAAUUUAGACAUGCAAUCGCUGAAAUUUCUUAUCGGUAUUCUAACACAUGCAUCCAAUCAAUCAGUGAAUCAUAAAAAUUAAUCACAAUAAACUUUUCUAUCUCAAAUUCAUGGUUUCGCAACACUGUUUCAUUUAGGCCCUAUUUCGGGAUAUUACAAAAGUGGUUUAAGGUUAAAUAAUUGUAGGUAUUGACUUCUCUCCAUUUUUAAAUUACUUACAGAGAUAUUAAGGGCAUAGCUCUUUGGAAGAUCUAACUAAUUCAAUAAGCUCACAAAGACAUCAUGAUAUUGAUCAAAUGUAUCUUGUUGUUUAAGUGAAAUGAGCUCUGUCAUUAGAUCCAAAAACAAACUUGAGCUAAACAAUUCUUGUAAGCCUCUAGCAUAAGUGUCCCAUGUAAGCCCAUGUAGUCUCCCAUGCCUUUGAGCAAAAAUAUGGUGCCCUAGGUGGAGCAUCAAAUUCACACCUUGGUCUGAUCCAUCACUUCUUCAGCCUUGAAAUACUGCUCUAGCUUAGACCACCACCCCCUAAAGUUGGUUCUGUAAAAGCGAGGACAGUCGAGCUUGAAAUGUUUGGAAAACACUUUAUGCUGCCAACUCGUGUUGAAGCUUCCACAUAGGUCAAAUUUUCCAUCAUGGGAACCAUCAAUGGUUCCUUGGGGGGAAAUCCUAAAUGAGGAGUGCCCAAAAUUUCUUUCCCUUUUCUAAAUCUAGAUCUAGGAACUGCUACACCAGAUGGUUGGCCUAAAUAUUUUUCAAACAAGAAAUGCAACUCAUUAGUGAUUUCACCUUUGAACUCCUCACAUAGCUCCUUAAAAUGUGAAUCAAGCCUGCUGUCCAACUAGGAAAACUCAGUCUGCAACUGUGAAACUUCCAUUUGCAGCUUGCCCAUCUCCUUUUGGAGACACGUGGUGAUGUCGUCACUAGCCAUAGAGGAUCAAAAGAUUUGAUACUAUUGAUGCGUAUGAAAAUUUAAUGCACAAUCGAUAGAGAGAAAGAAGAGAAAUCAGAAAGAAUUGAGGAUUAAAUAGAAGAAACCAUAAGAAACAUGUGAAUAUCAAAUUCCAUAACCAUUUAUGUUUUCACCCAACUGCUUAAGAAGGAAGGGUUGACAAUUUUCCCUUCCAAUUGAGUUUGUUAGCCGUUAGUGCCAGUUGGUUACAAUACGCACUAUUUCAUUUAAAUGGAAUGAGACCAAAACACAUCGUUCUUGUUGCCCCCACACUUCCUAAUACGCACUAUUUAUUCUUAAUAAAGAAAACCAUUAAAACACUGUGUUUCUAAUAAAACUAAAACAGAAACAUAAACAGAAAUUCAAAGGAAUUUUCUCGUUGGUAAACAGCCCGUAUCACCUUGUUCACUAGAUCAUCAAAUCUAACCAUUCAAUUCACCUCUCUUUCAAUUUGCUUUUUUUAUUUCACUUUUCAAUUAAAAAAAAUCACUAAAUAUAAGAGUCAUCUGCUACUAAUCCCUUUCAUACAAAUCAAUACGAUUGAGUUCUUUGUCUCCUUGUUUUCUCUCUCAUAAACCCAAGAAAAAAACACAAUAAAUUCAUCAAAAUAUCAGAAAAAUACAAGAAAUCCAGAGAACAUAACAUAAGAAAAUUCAUAAAAAAAUUAAUGAACCAUUCUAAAAUAAGAGAAAAACCCAUAAAAAAAAGUCUAAUGGGAAAAUCUCUGCCAAUAAUUGAAGCAUCUCUAUCAAUGAAAAAUAAUAAAUUAUGAGUUUUUUUCUAAAAAAAUUAUGGGUUCAAAAUUUCAAAUUUGAGAUGAAAAAUGAAAUUUGAUACGAAGAAAUAGAUGAUAUUUUUUCAAUGGGUAAUGUUUUAUGAAGAAGAAAUUCAAGUUAUUUAAUAAACUUGAAAGGUUUCUUUAUUAUUAUAUUUUAUCUUUAAAAUCAAAACUACUAUAAUUAUUUUCAUAUCCUUAGUUUGACCUUUUAAUUUUUUUCCUUGACAAUAAUGUCACUUGGCAGUUUAAAAUUGGUUUAUGUCAUAUUUUAACUUGUUAGUGGGAGAUAACACAUUAUAUAGUUAGAAAUAAUAUAAUCAACAUUUUAAAAUUAGAGGUACCACAAAUAUGUGAUUAUCCCUCUUUCUUCUUCUUCUUUUUCUUAUUAUUAUUAGUCUUGAGUUGAACCAAUUUCUCCACACAAGAGUUUUUGUGACAUGGAAAUAAUAAUAAAAAUUCAUAGAAAUUGGUUUAAGCACAUUAAAUGUUUUACAUAAGUCGUAAAUGAAAUGUUAUGGCAUUUUAGGAGUGUUAGUUAUUUGACGUGCGGUGCAAGCACCGAAACAUAACGGUAGAGCAUAGUUUUCACCUUCAAAGUAGCCACCCAUUUCUCCCCGCCAUUUCUUUCAUUCCCAAAACCAAGGGCCUCCUUUCAAAUCCAAACACAUAUUCACUCCACCCUUUCGAACAAAAUUCUAUUGUUUUCUCUCAAGGGUCUAACUCUAAAGCUAUCCAAAUCUUCCCCUGCUUGUUGUCAAUCUUCAUUUUUGGUCUGCAUAUUUUCAACCACCCUAUUUAUUAUUAUUUUCUUUUGUUUUGUUUUUUGGUCCAUGAAUGUUCAUGGUCUUGUUUGAAACAAGUAUAAAAACUCAAGACCAUGAUGUUUUAAAAGACAUUUUACCUUUGACAAUGCCAUGGUUCAUUCACAGAAUUCAAUUAUAGUUAGUUGUUUUAUGUUUUGUAUUAUAGGAUUUGUGAUUUGUAGAGCUUCGCCUGUUGAUCAAUAUGAGAGGAGUUAUUAGAUCCCAUUUUUUGCAUUUUCUUCUUCUUUUUUUAAGUUCCUUUCCUUCUUCAAGGUCUUUGGAUGGGGAUGAUUACAGUGAAACACAAAACCCUGCCGUCCUCCCUGGUGUAACGGACCUCAUCCACAAACGGCUUUCGAAUCUUACUACAUUGCUAAUCAAAGAUAUUGGUAGUGAUUUGGGCUUCUGCAUAAAGAAUGCGUAUGUAUUUCGCAAAUUUUCUUCUGUUUUGUCUCUGUAUCAUGCAUGUCACCGUUCUACUUUACCCCAUAAAACACCUUUUAUAAUAUAUAUAUAUAUGAAUUAGUGCAUCUCCUCUUUCUUCUCAGGCAAGAGGAUUUGGAUGGAGCAUUUAAUUUUUCAAAAAAUAUGGAUUUUGUGACUAAUUGUAUCAAGAAAACAAAAGGUAUGAAAAGCUUUAGCCUAUUGAAAUGCUAUAUUUACUUGAACUUGUUGACAUUAUGAUGAUCCAGAUGUCUGAUUUUAUGUCUGCUAAAAAUCUUGUAAAAAUUACCAUGAUUCAAGUAUCUUUUUCAACUCCAUGCGUUUUGCAGGCAUAAAAAAGGUAAAAAAUUGGCCAUAAACUAAUUAGGCUGAUAGAUAUAGUUACCAUGACUCAAGUUUUCUGUUGGAGUUACUUUUCCAUCUUUGCAAUGUAUUGUCAUAUCCUUCACCUAUGGAGCUUACGAUGAAUUAAAAUUUAACAGGAGAUGUCACCCUGAGACUAUGUACAGCAGCAGAGAUAAAAUUUUAUUUCGAUAGUUUAUUUUCAAAGGGGGCCAAAACUGGUUACGUAAAAGUUAACAAGAACUGCAAUUUGAAAUCUUGGGUCUCUGGAUGUGAGCCAGGAUGGGGUUGUUUUGCUGACGGGGGGCAACAGAUUGAUCUAAAAAAUACCAGUUACAUGCCUUCCAGGAGUCAAGAUUGUCAACCUUGUUGUGAAGGAUUCUUUUGCCCUAGGGGUCUUGCUUGCAUGAUACGUAAGUACUUGACACAACUGUGUGAUAACAAUUUCAAAACAGAAUGGUAUUUUGUGACGAAGCGAAUAAUGACCUAUGAAAAUUUCAGAAAACUGGAAUUAUUUGUUGAUAGAAGUGGAACUGAAUGAAGAACAUUCAUUGUCUUUUUCAUGUUCAUGCAAAAUGAAGCAUGCCCUUUAGGUUCUUAUUGUCCGCUUGCAACGCUGAAUAAAACAACCGGAGUUUGUGACCCGUAAGUUCGUAUUUCUUUUCUUCUGCUCUCACAUCGUGUACUGUAGGCAUUAAAUUGGUUAAGAAAAUUUGCAGGUAUAAUUACCAAAUUCCUCCUGGAAAGCCAAAUCACAGUUGCGGCACUGCAGAUAUUUGGGCUGAUGUUGGAAGUAGUAGUGAGAUAUUCUGUUCAGCAGGAUCAUACUGCCCUAAUACCCUUAAUAAAAUUACUUGCAGUAAGGGGUAUAUUUUUAUCCCUGAACUCAUAGCAUCAAUAAAGUUAUUUGUUUGCAGAACCUGCAUUCUGUAUCAAGAUAACAUACAUAAUUUGAUGAUAUUCUGAAAAUACUCUAUUCUUGGAGUUUAUGUUUGCUGAUAAGUUCUUUUGAUUCAAAUUUAGGCAUUACUGCAGAAAGGGUUCCACUUCCCAAAUUUGUAAGUUCUUUUUUCUCUUUUCAUCCGAUAGACUUCCUGGAAUUUGCUUUGAAACCCAAUUUGUUCACCUUUUUUUUCUUUUUUUUGCAAAACUCACAAUUAGAGCUAGAGAACAUGAAAGGGUUAACAAUGAAUUUUAUCUACUUGAUGAAUUCACCAAAUUUAUAAUCAAUAGGCUAGAUGAACCAGUUUGAUCAGUUUGUGUAUUACAUCCAAUGUGUGCAAAAAGUAUCCAUGCAACCUACGUGAAAAUAUCGAAAGUUGUUUGUGUAUACAUUCAUUGAGUGAAAGUGCCUCAAAAGUAUAUCGUUUGAAUCACCUGAGGAAGAUUUGAAGAGCCCCAGAAUUUAUUUGCAACUCCAUAGCAUUUUAUUUUACCAACCUUCCUUGUUCCUGGCCUCUGGGUUUCUAACUUAUCAUUGAUGCAUACAGCAAAGUUUGGUCAAUGCUUUUAGUUCAUUCAAAAAUAAUGGAAAUCCAUUUUCAUGAGAUUUUUAUGUGAAUACUUUGCAGCUUGCUUCAAAUUAACUACUUGCAAUCCAAAUACUUCAAACCAAAAUAUUCACGGUUAUGGAGUCAUGCUCUUUGUAAGUGGUUUCUAACUACUCAUUGAUUGCUGUUCUUAAGCUGGUUAUGUAUCUUAUUAAUGGUGAUAUAUAGGGUUGUUAAUCAGCCAUGCCUGUCAUAAUUCUUUGAAGAAUUCCUCAUGAAGCUAAUCUCCAUGAAGGAUUUCUUUUGCAUGCUCAUGCAGAAUUAGAUUGUGUUUCCUUUUUCUCUGGAAUCUGAUCUGUUUUAGCUUUGUUGUUGCUCCGAAUUCAACGAGUUGACUUUUUUACUUUCUCUUGCAUAAGUAGGUUGGACUGAGUCUCCUGCUGCUCAUUAUUUAUAAUUUCUCUGAUCAAGUUAUUAGUACUAAAGAAAGAAGACAGGCUAAAUCCCGAGAAGCAGCAGCAAAGCAUGCGCGUGAAACUGCGCAAGCACGGGAAAGGUGGAAAGCAGCAAAAGAUAUUGCUAAGAAAGGGGGUUGGCAGGCACAGCUUUCAAAGACAUUUUCUCGAGCUAAAUCACAAAGGAAAACUGAACAGCAGAAGGCAUCAGGUGUAGGUAAAUCUACUGAAGCUCCUGUACCACCACCGCCAAAGGUAGCCGAGCAAACCUCCAAAGGUUCAAAGGAGAAGAAAAAGGAACCAGGCGACCUCACAAAGAUGUUGCAUUCCCUUGAAGAUGAUCCCAAAAGUAAUGAGGGUUUUGAUUUGAAUAUUGGAGGGAAAAAUGUGAAAAAACAAGCACCAAAGGGUAAACAAUUGCAUACUCAGAGUCAAAUUUUCAAGUAUGCCUAUGGUCAAAUUGAGAAGGAAAAAGCACAACAGAACAAGAACUUGACUUUCUCCGGAAUAAUUUCAAUGGCUACUGAUAACGAUAUCAGGACCAGGCCUAUGAUUGAGAUUUAUUUCAAGGAUCUAACCCUCACUUUGAAGGGGAAAAACAAAAAUUUACUCAGGUCUGUCACUGGGAAACUCAUGCCUGGUCGUGUAUCCGCAGUUAUGGGCCCAUCAGGAGCCGGAAAAACUACAUUUCUCUCUGCUUUGACAGGGAAAACUGCUGCUGGAUGCAGUGUUACAGGUUUGAUUCUUGUAAAUGGAAAAAACGAACCUAUCCAAGCAUAUAGGAAAAUUAUUGGAUAUGUGCCUCAAGAUGACAUAGUGCAUGGAAACUUGACAGUAGAGGAGAACCUUCGGUUCAGUGCGAGAUGCAGGUAUGUGGUUUCAAACAUGUGAUACAAAUUAACAGUAUUCAUCAUCUCAUAAUUUAUACAAAACAGCUCAAAUUUAAACAGGAUAUCUUUCUGUAACUGGCUGAUCAUUGAAUUCAAAUAUGCCUAACGUUUUAUGUUAUUUUAGAAACCUUUCCUCAAUUAUAAUCACUAGUUCAGUGAUCUUACUUGUGUUGAUAUUAGUUGGAAUGUUAGGCUUGAGGCAGUCAUGGUAGACUAAUUUGUGAAAAUCAGGAAGAAUUAAUUUUUAUGAAAGCAUGAUAUUUAUCACCUUUGUAGCUCAAGCAACAUGGUGCACUUCCAACGCACUACUCUGCUAAUGGUGAAGUUGUUAAGGAGCAUCCAUGUAGAACAUAAUUUAUUGUCUUUAUGUUGAAUAAUUUGCAUCCUAUAAGUUUCAUUCUUACUUUAUCAUUUUUGUGGAUUCCAUAACACUGAAGAUUAUCUGCGGACCUGGCAAAACCCGAUAAAGUUUUGGUUAUCGAAAGGGUUAUUGAGUCCUUGGGUCUACAAGCAGUAAGGGAUUCACUUGUAGGAACAGUGGAGAAACGAGGGAUCUCUGGAGGCCAAAGAAAACGUGUAAAUGUUGGACUAGAGAUGGUUAUGGAACCUUCUCUAUUGAUCUUGGAUGAGCCUACUACUGGUUUAGACAGUUCUUCAUCACAGUUACUCCUUCGAGCACUUCGACGUGAAGCUCUUGAAGGGGUAAACAUCUGCAUGGUACUUCACCAACCAAGGUAUACUUUUUUCUAAACCCGAAAAUAAGAGACAAGAUAAGUUUUUUAUUGGCUGAAUCAUUGCAAGCCAGGUCCAGAAGGUGCUUAUUUGAGUUGAUUUUUCUCGUUAGUUACUUCUGCUUGUACAGCAAUUUGAUUAUUUAUGAUAAGAUAGUCCGUAUAGUUCUUAUAUAUAUAUAUAAAAGCUUAAAAGGCUGAAAUUACAUCAAGAAAUGGCUGCUUUUUGGUUUUCCAAUUUGUGAAGGUAACCAUUAGCUUCUUGUGAUUCAGUUAUACUUUGUUCAAGAUGUUUGAUGAUUUAAUACUUCUAGCCAAAGGUGGUCUGGUUGCAUAUCUUGGACCUGUGAAGAAAGUUGAAGAAUACUUUUCCAGCAUAGGGAUCAAUGUGCCCGACCGUGUUAAUCCUCCGGACCACUUAAUCGACAUUCUGGAAGGGAUUGAGAAACCAGCUACAGUGACUCGUGAACAACUUCCUGUCCGAUGGAUGCUACACAAUGGCUACCCAGUACCCCUAGAUAUGCUUGAUUUGGCUGAAGGACUUUCAACACCCUCUGGUUCAAAUCCAAAUAAUUCUGGCGGCGCUGCUGGGGGACAAGCAUUUGCUGGAGACCUGCCUGAUGAUGCAAAGAUUAAUGUCUCGAAAUCUAAAGAUCUAUCCAACAGACGAUCACCGGGUAUACUUCGCCAGUACAGAUACUUUCUUGGCAGGUAUAAUAAGCCAACAGCAGCAUUCCGAUCGUAUGAAUAUUUGGUUCAUAUUACAGCCUAAUCUACCACUAGAAGGACCGGUUUUUGUCAACUGUUUAAGACACCUUAAGAUGAUCUAAUCUCGGGUUGCCUAACCUUGUUCCAUAACAACAUAUGAAUGUUUGUUUUGGACCAAACACCUCCUUGUCAAAAACUGGCCUCCUUGUACAUUAAACCUUGAUGAUUUACCAUAUGUCAAAAUUUCAGGAUUCUUAAACAGCGACUACGAGAAGGUCAGAUGCAAGCUGUCGAUUUAAUGAUCCUUCUUCUUGCGGGAGCCUGCUUAGGGACUCUUGCAAAAGUGACAGAUGAAACACUGGAUAACGCUGGCUACACAUUUUCAGUCAUUGCAGUGUGUAAGUUGAAACAAAAAUGCUUGGCCUAAAGUGCUCAUGUUGCCAUUGUGUUUAUAACUUAAAAUCACCUUCAUUCGCAGCACUAUUAUCGAUGAUCGCUGCAUUGAGAACGUAUUCGCUAGAUAAAUUACAAUACAAAAGGGAGACUGAAUCCGGGAUCAGCAGUCUAGCUCAUUUUCUAUCGAAAGACACAAUUGAUUUGUUCAACAUCAUCAUCAAACCAGUGGCAUAUUUAUCAAUGUUCUAUUUCUUCAACAAUCCAAGAUCAAGCUUUCAAGAUAACUACGUUAUAUUGAUGGCACUUGUUUACUGUGUCACUGGUAUGGCUUACGUAUUAGCCAUUUCCUUUGCACCUAGUCUUGCCCAACUGGUAUGUUCUAAAAAGCUUUUAUCAUUUCAUGAACUCAUGACUUUUUUUCUAGAUGAUGAGCUUAAUAAUUUUGUUGUUUCAGUGGGCAGUGCUUGUUCCCGUUGUUUUGACUCUCGUUGCAAACAAGGGAAAAGAUAGUAUGAUUCAGAAAUAUUUUGGCAAAUUUUGCUACACAAAGUGGGCUUUGGAAGCUUUUGUCAUUGCAAAUGCUGAAAAGUUAGUAAUAUUUUUUCUUUCUUGUAAUACUGCGAUUUAUAUAUUAGAGUAUGAUCUUAAAACAACCCAAAAGAAAAUUGAAUAUACAUAUAUGCCACUCAUAUCAUAUCAUGAUUGUGAAGAUAUCAUGUUUCAAGAAUCUCCAAAUAUAUAUAUAUAUAAAUACUGGUAUCAGAAAGAUACUCAUGUUGUUGGGUAUAAUUAGAGAAGCAUAAACAUACCAUGCUUGAGCUUCCUCAAAGUGUUGAUAUUGUUCAGGUACUCUGGAGUUUGGCUAUUAACUCGUUGCAAAUCAUUGGAAUCUGGCGGUUAUAAUCUCCAUGACUGGAAACUUUGUUUAAUCAUCCUUAUUGUCAAUGGCGUUAUCGCUCGCAUUCUAGCUUUCAUUAUACUUGUAACGAGAUGAGUUUGGAGAAGAAUUCAAUUUCCUUUUUUCUUUUUUUUUUUGUUUUUUUUUUUGUAUAAAAAGAAACUCACCAUCGAACAGGAAAGAAAAGAAAAGAAAAGAAAGAAACUUCAUGGCUAACUGUUUAGAACUCUGUACGCAUGAAUUUGUGUUGUAUUUGUGUUAUUGUAUUUUUUUGUUUGUAAAUUUUGAUAUAUUAAUUAUUCAUUUUCAUAAUAUAAAAUUUUAAAGUUCGACAUAUUUGAGUUUGAUAUUAUUUUUUAUACUGUUAAUUGCAUUAACACCAAACAUCUCAAAGAUUGUUCAAAUUUUAAAUUGAUGUUUAAACUUCAAAACACUCCAAUUAAGUUAUCAAUUGUAUCAAUCGGGUCUUUUGUUAGCCUAGUCAUGGAUUUAGGUGCUAAAUGUCAAUUUGAAUAUGAUGUGGGGUGUAUUUAAAUAAUGUAAAUCAAUUUGUAAACAGGUUUGUACUUACUUUAUAGACAAUUUAUGUAACACCUGAAUUCUAGGGAACCCAAAAACUUGAAAUAAUUGGAGGAUUAAAUCGAAAGAAAUUGCAAGUUUGUGGUCUUUCUUGGAAAAAAUGGGAAAGCAAUAAAUUAAAUUGGACAUUAUUGACAACCAAACUUGGUUCAGUUAGAAUGGAACCAGUCGAUUCCUUAGUGAGAGACAUAAUAAUUAGCAAUGGAUGGAUCUCAUAAGGUUGGAAAUAGCAUGGGAAGGAUUAUAAAUAGCUAGAAAACGACUACUCAGAGAUGAUUUUCUACCUGACUUUGUUUCAUUUUCUCUUCUUCACCUUCUUCUAUUUUUUUGAAAAAGUGGAGGCUGUGUGACUCCUAUAGUGUGAAAAUUUCUAUCUUUUUCUAUAAAAUUCAAAAUAUUUUUGAUUUAGUCCCGAAUCGUUUCUAAAGUGUUUCUAAGGCCUCGAGGGCUCGAAAUAGAGACAAUAUACAUGUGUUUGAAUGAGUUUAGAUAUGAUUCAUGAAAUGUAUGUGAUUAAAUGUUUUAAGUUACAUUUUUGCGGUAAUGCUCUGUAACCCUAUUUUGGUGACAGAUAUGGGUUAGGGGUGUUACAUUUUGUGGUACUAGAGCUAUAGUUUAGUCAAUUCUCAGACUAAACAUAGCGUGUACAAGACUAGAAGUAGAUGCCAUUAUAUAACCAGUGAUAAUGUGAUAACUCCUGACAUGUUUUGAACUAUGCUUUCAUAUAGAAAUGACAUCCAACCGAGCUGACUCCGAUGAAGUUGAAAGGAGUGCCCAAGCCUCCGUACACGGAGCAGUGUCGAGUGGCACUAGGCCCGUAUCUAAGGGCCAGGGAGGAGAGGCUAAGGAAGCCUUCUUCCAUAUGAUGAACAAAUAGUUUUCUAAGUUUGUAAGAAUGAACCCAAUGGCUCAACAACCUCCACCCCCACUUGUUCCCCAACUGAUCCUCGUAGUUUCUUAGGGUUUGGAACCAAUAUGAGUUAGUAAGUCGCCAGUUGAUAAAUUUUACAAAUAUGGGGAUAAGGAAUUUAGAGCUACUACCGAAGAUGACCCAGAGAGGACUGAGUUUUGGUUAGAAAUUACUAUCAAGGUUUUGGACGAGUUGUCUUAUACAUUGACAGAGUGCGUAAAAUGUUUGUAUCUUUAUUGAAAGACUCAGCUUCUCAGUGGUGGAACACUUCAGUUUUAGUGGUACGGAGAGAGCGUAUAGAUUGGGAAUUCUUCCAAACUGAGUUCUGAAAGAAGUAUAUAAGUCAAGAGAUUUUUGACUAGAAACGCAAAGAGUUCCCUGAGCUUAAACAGGGUCGAAUGACAGUGUCUGAGUAUGAAAGAGAAUUUGUUAAACUGAGCAAGUAUGCCCGAGAGUGUAUACCAACUAAAGUUACCAUGUGUAAACAGUUUGAAGAUAGGUUAAAUGAAGACGUAAAGCUUUUAGUCGAGAUACUUGAAUUGAAAGAAUUUGUCAUUUUAGUUGACCGAGAGCAUAAAGCUGAAGAGCUUAGCAAAUAAAAGAGAAAAGUUGAUCAUGAAGCUAGAGAUUCGAGAAUGAUAUCAAUUGAGAAUUCAUAUCAGUCAUCAUCGAAGAAAUCGAAAGAACAUCAUAAUUGUUCGACAGCUUCACUGGAAUAUUCCAAUAGAGAUAGAGGUAAACAACGUGCGAGUCCAAAACCUCAGACUACGUGUGUAUGGAGUGUGGGUAGUGUCAGGAACAAUCAACCUGAUUGCCAAAAAUGUAAUAGAUGAUACUUCAAUGAGUGCAGAUUGAAAAAUGGGUCAUGUUUCAGAUGUGGUUCAUUUGAACAUUAUCUUAGAGAUUGUCUAGAGAGGUCAGAGAAAGAAAAUACUCAGACUGUUCAACCGAUCAAUACUAUCGCAAGAGGUAGACCACCUUGGAACCUUGGAAAUGUGAGCAAUAGCCAUACUAGAACAAAAGACUCUACUGUGAGAUCUGAGGUACGAGCACUGGCUAGAGCUUACGCGAUUCAUGCAUGAGAGGAAGCUUCAAUGCCAGAUGUUAUUACUGGUACAUAUUCUAUCUAUGAUACUGAUGUUACUACCUUGAUUGAUUCGGAUCAACACAUUCAUAUGUAUGCAUGAAUCUAGUGCCAAGUAAGAAUUUACCUGUUGAGUCCACUGAAUUUGUGGUUAAAUUAGCGAACCCCCUAAGUCAACAUAUACUAGUUGAUAAGGUUUGUAAAAGUUGUCUUUUAAUGAUUCGGGGUUGUAAUUUUUCAGCUAAUUUGAUGUUGUUGCCAUUUGAUGAGUUUGACGUGAUUUUGGGUAUGGAUUGACUAACUUUGCAUGAUGCUAUUAUGAACUAUAGACGAAAGCUUAUUGUGUUAAAAUGUCAAAAUAGCAAAAAUCUUUAGAUUGAAUUAGAUAGACUGGAUAGUAUGUCUAAUGUUAUUUCAACUAUGUCAGCUCAAAGAUAUGUUAGAAAAGGCUAUGAUGCUUACAUUGCUUAUAUAUUUGAUUCUAGAGUUUUUGAGUUGAAGCUAGAAUUGCUUCCACUAGUAUGUGAGUAUCCAGAUGUGUUUCCAUAGGAGUUACCUGGGUUACCGCCUAUCCGAGAGGUUGUGUUCGGUAUUGAGUUAGUACCGGGAACAUCUUUGAUAUUGAUAGCUCCUUAUAGAAUGACACCUAAAGAGUUAAAAGAAUUGAAAGCCCAGUUGCAAGAAUUAACAGAUAGGGGUUUUGCUCAACCCAAUUUCUGACCUUGGGAUGCACUAAUUAUUUUCUUUAAGAAAAAGGACAGAUUUAUCCAAAUAUGUAUUGAUUAUAGCCUACUUAACAAAGUCAUGAUCAAGAAAAACUAUCCGUUACUGUGAAUUGAUGAUCUGUUUGAUCAAUUGAAAGGUGCAACAAUGUUUUCGAAGAUUGAUCUUCGUUCUGGUUACUAUCAGUUGCGAGUUAAAGAUUUAGAUGUGCCAAAAACCAUGUUUAAGACUAGGUACGGACAUUAUGAAUUUCUUGUGAUGCCGUUUGGUUUGACUAAUGCACUUGUAGUAUUUAUGGACUUAAUGAACAGAAAUUUCAGACCGUAUUUAGACAGAUUCGUCGUAGUGUUCAUUGAUGAUAUCUUGAUUUAUUCACAAGAUGAGUCAGAGCAUGUCGAGCAUUUGAGAAUUAUUUUGCAAACUUUGCGCGAAAAGCAAUUAUUCGCUAAGUUUAGCAAAUGCGAAUUCUGGCUUCAUGAAGUUGGAUUUCUGGGACAUGUUGUAUCAGCCAAGGGCAUCAGAGUUGAUCCGAGCAAAUUUCAGCAGUUGUUGAUUGGAGGCCUCCAAGAAAUGUAUCUGAGGUUAGAAGUUUUCUAGGAUUAGCCAGAUAUUAUAGAAGGUUUAUUAAGGGAUUGGUGAUGAUUGCUACACCGAUGACGAGAUUAUUACAGAAAGAUGUUAAGUUUGAGUGGCCAAAAAAAUGCCAGUAAAGUUUCAAUCAAUUGAAAGCAUUAUUAACUGAGGCACCGGUGCUAUUUCAGCUAGAAUCGGGUAAAGAAUUCGUGAUUUAUAGUGAUACAUCUUUAAAUGGUUUGGAUUGUUUUUUGAUGCAGGAAGGCAAAGUGAUAGCGUAUGCUUCUAAACAGUUAAAGACGCACGAAAAGAAUUAUUCGGCUCAUGAUUUAGAACUGUAGCUAUUGUGUUUGCGUUGAAGAUUUGGCAACAUCAUUUAUACGGUGAAAAAUGUCAUAUCUUUACAAAUCAUAAAAGCUUAAAGUAUUUAAUGAUGUAGAAAGAUUUGAAUUUAAGACAAUGCAGAUGGCUUGAGCUAUUGAAAGACUAUAACUUCAUCAUUGAUUAUCAUCUGAGAAAAGCUAAUGUAGUUGACGAUGCUUUAAGUAGAAAAUCUUUAUUAGCUUCACGAGCGUUGAACAUGUGAUUGACGUUGUUUGAUGAUGGUUCGAUCUUAACGGAGUUGAAAGCUAGAUCGAUGUUUUUGCAACUGAUUUAUGAGGCUCAAAAGUGCGAUGACAUGUUGAUAGCUAAAUGGAAACAGAUUGAGUCGACUCCUGAUUCAAUUUUUUAGAUUGGAUCUGAUGAUAGUUUAUACUUCAAAGGUAGAAUUUGUGUUCUGAGAAAUUCAGAUCUCGUUCAUAAGAUUUUACGAAAAGCUUAUAAUAGCAGCUUGUCUGUUCCUCUUGGUAGCAACAAAAUGUACGGUGAUUUGAAACAAAUGUACUGGUGGCCAGGUAUGAAACGAGAGAUUUUUGAGUUCGUAUCGAGAUGUUUAGUAUAUCAGUAAGUUAAAGCUGAACAUCAGGUACAUUUUAGUUUGUUACAUACAAUGAUGAUUCUGGAAUGGAAAUGGGAGUGCGUCACAAUGGAUUUUGUAUCGGGAUUGCCUUUGUCUUCGAGAAAGAAAGAUGCAACUUUGGUUAUCUUUGAUCUUCUGAUGAAGUCCGUACAGUUUAUUCCAGUGUGUAUGGAUUAUUCUCUUGAGAGUUUAGUUGAGUUAUAUGUUGCUGAGAUUGUCAGAUUACACGGGGUGCCAAUUUCUAUUAUUUCUGAUCGAGAUCGUAAUUUACGUCAUGAUUCUGGAGCAAAUUACAUGAGGCUCUAGGAGCUCGUUUGCAUUUUAGUACGACGUUUCAUCCUCAGAUAGAUGGUUAGUCAGAGUGAGUGAUUCAGAUACUUGAGGAUAUGCUACGGUGUUGUGUUUUGGAAUUUGAAGGUAAUUGAGAGAGAUUCUUACCUUUGGUUGAAUUUACGUACAAUAACAGUUAUCAAUUGAGCAUAGAGAUGGCACCAUAUGAUUGAACUCAGUGGGAAAAACAUUCACGGGGUUGAUUUGAUACAAGAAAUUGAAGAAAAAGUUAAAGUUAUUCAACACAAUUUGAAAGCAACUUCAAAUCGACAGAAAUCAUAUGCGGAUUUAAAACGUAAAGACAUUGAAUUUCAAAUCAGCGAUAAAGUAUUCUUGAAAGUUUCAACCUAGAAGAAAGUUCUUCGAUUCAGACGUAAAGGAAAGCUAAGUCCACGAUUUAUCAGGCCGUAUGAGAUUAUCGAAAGAAUCGGACCAGUAGCUUAUAGAUUGGUGUUGGCUUCAGAGUUAGAAAAGAUACAUAAUGUGUUUCACAUAUCUAUGUUAUGACGAUACCGAUCAGACCCUUCACAUGUUAUCUCACCUAUUGAUGUCGAGAUUUAGCCUGAUAUGUCGUAUAGUGAAGAACCGAUCAGAAUUCUUGCCUGAGGGGUUAGAGAAUUGAGAAAUAAAAACAUAGCUUUAGUGAAAGUUCUUUAAAAAUGGCAUGGUUUAGAAGAUGCCACCUAGGAACCGGAAGAAGCUAUGAGAAAGUAAUAUCCGAACCUCUUUUCUGAUAAGAUUUUUAGGGACAAGUAUUCCUUUAGGGGGGAGAGUUAUAACAUCCCGUUUUCAGUGGAAUCAGAACAAUUGUUUUGGGACCACAAAUCCAAUGUGAAAAUAUUUAUUUUAUUAUUAUUUUAGAGUCUACGGAAUAUUAGCAAGGUCAUAUAAAGAUUUUGUUAAGAAAUUUUAUCAUUUGCAUGCUUAAUUUGGUAAAAAAGACUAAAUUGCAAAAGGUGCAAAAUUUGGGUUCUACAAGCUAAAGGUACUUAAGGGCUAUGAUAUUAAAUAGUUAAGGAAUUUAUGUGUUAAUUGUACCAUUGUUAUUAUGAGUGGACAAUUAUGGAUAUUAAACAUGUGAUUUCAAAGGUUAAUUAAUAAGGUUAAACUUGUAAUUCAAUAAAGAAAUUAAAAUAAAAUAUAGUAAAAGAUGUAUCAUCUUCAACCUUGGGUGAUACCACCAAAGUUGAAGAAAAAGAAAGAACAUUUAGGGCGUUGAAGCAUUCAGUCAUCUCUUCCUCUUGCAUGUAAGCAUUUUUCUUCUUAUUUUUAAUGAUUUUUAUGUUUUUGAAGUCGUAGCUUAAUCUAGCUAGCCCAGGGACUAAUUUGCAAAAUUGUUAAAAGUUAGGGUUUUUCUAUGAAUGUAUUCAUGUGUUUUUUGUUGUUUGAUACAAGAAAAUAAAUUAUUGUUGAUAAAUAAACAACUUUUGUAAAGUGAUCUUUGUUGAAGUUGUCAAUUAGGGAUUUAUUUGUAAAAUGUGUAAAAUACACGGUGAAAAGUGUGAAAUAGUGAAUUGUAUGAGUUGAUAUGGACCUAUAUGAAAUUCAUCUAGCUUGGGUAGGGAUGAAAUUGCAUGAAUUUUAAAUUACGAGCUUAAGGACUAAAUUAUAAUGAAAUCAAAAUAAUAGGGGCAAAAGCGCAAUUUUGUAAAAAUAUGAAUUUGGAUUGAAUUGAAUAGAAUGGUUAUUAAAUAGAUUGAAUUUAUUUAUUUAGAUCAAGAUAGACAUCGUAUGGCUUUAGAUCGAAGCAAAAAAAAAGCUUCAGAUUAGUCGACUCCAUUUCUACGCAUUUAUUGUCGAGGUAAGUUCGUAUAAUUAUGUAAUGUUUUAAUGCAAUCUUUUGAGCUAUAUGUAAAUUAUGGAUUGUUAUGUAAAUGAUCGAUGGAAAUCCAAUGAUGUUACGAUGUCUAACGAGCCCGGUUUGAACCUUAAGAAUUCGUAGGAUACAAAUGACAUGUUAUUAGGCUUUACAUAUUUUGGGUGCUGGUCUCGAAUAUCCUACCGAUGGCUGAGGUCUGGCAUGUGUUGCGGAUACUCCACAACUCGUGUGAGCAGCAUCGUGUAGCUUACACUUUGACCCACAACUCGUGUGAGCAGACCCAUUUCACAGCUCGUGUGAGCAACUAUGUAUAUGACAGGAAAGAUUACGAUUAUAUGAUUAGCACACUUUGUGUUAGCUAUCCCACGUGUCUAAUGAUAUUCUAACAGUUCAACGGGCAUAAAUUUGAAACGAUAUAGUAAGUGUUUAAUAUGAACUAAGUCUUGUAUGUAUGAAUUACAUUGAAAUGGUGAGCUACAUGGAAAACAUGUUAUGUUAUGAUAGAUGAUAAAUCCAAUUGAAUCAUGCUCAAGUUUAAUGCUUAUACAUGUUAAAUUCAUAUGAAUCAUGUUCAAUUAUGCUAACAUGUUUGUGUUGGUGCUUAAGCUUGUGCCCAGCUAAAAGUUGGAUUAUGCCAUGCUAAAUUUUAAAUGUUAUGAAAUGCAAUGGUAAGUUGGGCUUUAUGAUACUACCAAGCAUUAUGUGCUUACAUAGUCUCCUUUCCCAUGUUUUAUAGAUAACAGGAAACUCGUUCGGUUUGCAAGCUCAUUGGAGACCUAUCACACUUUUCAGUGACUAUAUCGGUAGAUUUUGAUGUUUUGAGUCAUGGUUAUAAUGACAUGUAGGUGAACUAUGUUUGAUGAUUUAGUUGUUAUGUUUGGUAUGUAAAUAUGUGGUUACUUGGUUGAUGAAAUUUUGGCAUUUUGGUGCUUUGAUGGCUAAUGUUGAAAUGGUUAGGUGACGAUAUGUUUUGAAUGAUCAAAUUGGUAGGUUUAGAUGUGUUUGGCAUAUGGUUAGUUGUGCUAUGGCUUGGCAUGAAAAUAGGUAGUUGUCUGUGGUUGAUUUAUGCCAAAUGUGUUUAUGUUUUGGUUGAUUUGAUGAUUUGUAAUUGAGGUGCCUUUUGGGCAUAUUAGUUGUAUGGAUAGAUACCAUAUUGAUCUAGCUUUACUAUGCAUGUGUUAGGUAUGUUUUGAAGCUGGGUUGUAUGGGUAAAUGACUUGUAGGUGUGAACAUGGAUUGGGUGAAAAAAAUGGCUUGAAAAUGGCCUAUUUCUUGUCCACACGGCCUAGGACACGGGCAUGUGUCUCAGCCGUGUGUAACACACGGCCAUGCGACACGACCAUGUGUCCCUUGUAGGUUUCAAAGGGUUGCAAGUCAGACAGUUACAUGACCUAGCACACGGGCGUGUGAGGCCAUUUCGAGAGUUACACGACCUGGCACACAGGCGUGUGGCUUGGCCAUGUAACCCAAGUCAGAGAGUUACACGGGCACGGACACAGGCUGGGACAUGGUCGUGUGUCCCUAUUUCAAAUGUCCACAUGGCUUGAGACACGGGCGUGUGUCUCAGCCAUGUGAGUCACGCAGCCUGGCCGCACAACCGUGUGACCCCUGCAGUGUGAAAAUUUCUAUCUUUUUUUAUAAAAUUCUAAAUGUUUCUAAUUUAGUCCCGAAUCAUUUCUAAAGUGUUUCUAAGGCCUCAAGGGUUCGAAAUAAGGAUGAUAUACAUUUGUUUGAAUGAGUUUAUAUAUGAUUCAUGAAAUGUAUGUGAUUGAAAGUUUUAAGUUAUGUUUUUGUGGUAAUACUCUGUAACCCUAUUACAGCGACUGAUAUGAGUUAGGGGUGUUACAGUAAAAAUACAUAAAUGAAGUUAUAGAUCUUUAGAACUAUCUUAAAGGUUCUACUUACUUAUGAAAGUCUAAGCUUUUAAGAUGAAAUACAAGUUUAACCAGUAGGUUUUUGGUUGUAAUGCUUAGUGGCCAAGAGAAUGGAAGCUUUCGCGUUCGAGAAAGCUAAGUCGUCAAAAUGGUAGAGAUUCAGUUGAGUUCCAGACUCCAAAUCUGCUAAAAUGAUUUUUUUUGUUUGAGCGUGUCAUGUUUGCAUAAGCAUGAAGUGUAAUUAUAUGAGCAUGCAUUGCAUAACUAUAAGAAAAUUCUCAAUGGGAUAGAUAAAGUUAAGAUGAGAAAAAAGGGAGAGAAUUUGUUAGUUACCACCUCGGGCCUUGCGGAGGGAACACUGCGAUGUUUGAGCAUCAAGGUUAGGUGGUGUAAAGGUGAAAAUCAUGGAAAGGUAUUUACCGCGAUAGCGGUAUACAUUGGUCCUUUAGGGUGACCCCGUGACGACGGUAUAUGGCGUAAGACCAUAGAUGAAAGAGGCUAUGAUAGUCUAGUAUGAAGUACAUAGCGUAGGACCAUAGAUGAAAGAUGUCAUGGCAGCGUGGUACAAGGUAUAAGAUAUACGGUGUAAGACCAUAGAUGAAAGAAGCUAUGACAGUCAGGUAUGAGAAGUAAGACCAUGGAUGGAAAACUCUAAGGCAUCCAUAGAGAUAGUCUGCUAGGAUAGUACGCACAUGAUAGAUACUCCACUGGGAUAGUAAACGCAAAAUAGAGAUAGUCUAUUGGGGCAGUAAAUAAGGAUAUCUGCUGGGACAGUAAAUACAGAACAGAGAUAGUCUGCUGGGACAGUAAACACAUAACAGAUAGUCCAUCGAGAUAGUAAACAUGGAGUAAAUACAUUCAGACAAGAGAAAUAAAGAAUAAGGGUAUACGACCAUAGCUCAAUAAUAGAGACCCAUAGAGUCCGCAAUGAAACAAAUGUGGAAGGUACGCCAAGACCUCAAGUAAGGAGUAUACAUCUAGUGCGCCAUGUAUGAGAAACCACGUAGGUGGAGGAAGGGUUAAAACAAAGAGUGAGUAAUGACAGGCGAAUUUUGAGGAAUUUUCAAAAAAUGAUGAUAGUGGAAAUGACAAUUGUGAAACUCAACAAUGCAUGGGCAAAAACCUCACAGGAAUUAGAGGAAGAUAAGUCGUGCGAGAGCUGGCCUAAUUAUAGGAAUGUUAAAAGGGAAAUCAUCCAAGGAUUACAAGAGAGUGUCUGAAAUCAAGACCACCAAUGAAUUUUUAUGUGAGAUGCAAAUCUUGUGAGAAGGAUUGUCACACCCCAAAAUAGGUCCUAGGAGUUUUAGGGGUAAUUUAGGAAUUUUAGCCUUAGAGUGUUCAAAAUUUGGUGACAUGGUUAAUCGACAGUGUUUCUUACUAUGAUUUUUAGAAAAUUAAAUCAAUUUAUGAAAAUGAGUUUUAAAUACCUUUAAUUUUGCAAAAGAGUCAAAAUUGUGAGUUUCUAAGAGGCAAUUAAACCAAAUUUUCAAAUUCAACCUAAUACUUCCCCCACCUACAUAUAUUUGACAUUAGUUCUUCCCCUCCCAUUCAUGUUGCUGCCCCUUUGUUUUCCUACACACAUUCCAAUCGAUUUUGAUUCCUAAUUUCUAUUCCUUUAAUUUAUAUCCUCCUACUAGUCAAAAACCUCCAUAAAUACCAAGAAAAACACCUAAAAUCACCAUAGUUUCCUCCAUUGUCAAGCUUGUGGGUUUUUUGGGUUGUCAAUCAAACGCUGGGUUUUUCACCAACUAAGGUAACAAUUCAUCUUCCUAUUAGUUUUAAAUGUUAUUUAGUCUUUAAAACCAAGUUUUUAGCCGUUAAAUUGCAUAUUUUAAAUAAAAUCCAAAAAUUAGGUCGUUAAUGGUAGAUUCUGGGAUUCUGCAUAAAAACGUGAUUUCAAAGUGUUUUUUAACUUGUUUUAACAUGAUUAGAAAGUUUCUAAAUUUGAUGUUUCGUUAAAGAUUUCUUAAGUUUUAUGAUUAGAAAGUAGCCAUAAAACAUGUCAAAAAAGUUGUUUCUACAAAUUGAGUAUUAUAUUGUAUUUUAAAGGUUGAGAAUUAGUUGUAGGUGCGUUAUAAGAUGAACAGAAUUGGUUUUAGGUGAAAAUAUUAAGUCUAGACCGAGAUAUUUGAUUUUUAAGUUCGCUACGUUAAAAGUUUCGGUUACAUGAGAACUUAGUUUAGGCUUAUGUUUUGUAUGCUUGUAAUGAGUCCUUGGCUGAUUUUUUGAUGUAUUAUUGUGUGAAUUUGUUGUGUUGAAGUUCUAGAUUCGGUAGAACCUUCUACGAGUAGAGAUAAAGGCAAGAAAAAGCUAGUUUGAGCUUUCAACUUUUCAGCGAAAGCGUAAUUGGUGAGUGUUUGGGAUAAUUGCUUGUGGACAUGAUUCAAUGCAUUAUUUAGGAACAUGGUAGUAGCCUAAACCCCUACUCUAAAUUCCGAGUGUAAGCUUUCUCAUACCUGUGCUAUCUUGUGAACAAAGUGCUUAUGUGGUUGUGAAUAUGUGAAUUGAGAUGAGAAGUUAUAACAUGUGAUAUGUGGUUAUCAUAACUAUUGUGAAAGUGAAAAUAUGUACAUGUUAUGUAUAUGUUAAAUGUUAGUGAUUGUGUUUUGCUAAAGAUGCAAAUAUGCAGUGAUUGUGCACGGAUAAUCGGUAAGUGAUAUGUGUUUGACUUUAGAUAUUUCGGCCUUGUGAUCUUGAAACCUUUGGAUAUAGUUGGAAUGCCAUAGGAUUGUGAGUACUCACCUAUGUACAGUGAUUUGGGGCAUUAAGGCCCUGGACAUGUUGGAGGGAUAAGGGAAUGUGAGCUAAGUUCCAUUCAACGGGACAUGUGAGGGGAAAUAAGGAGAGUGUUAUUUACGUUUCACUUUUAGGACAUGUUUGACUCUAUGAGUCUAUAUUUGGUGUGUUGGAGAUCUGUGUAUCCGAUUUGUGUUGAUAAAGCUCACUUUUAUGUUUCACAUCAAUUGUCAAAUUCUCUUAAAUUAUGAAUAUGUGUGUAACCUCGCAAACUUGGCCUAGACGUUAUGACUAGAUUGAAAAGGCUACAUUAGCCAUCGAAAUGGCUAAGCUAACUUACGUUACUUUUUAGGACUUCAAAAAACUCAUUUUAGAGAAAACCAUAGUUGUACUCUAAGUUAGCUUCAAAGCAUUCAUUCAUUAGUUCGUGUAUGCUUAGGAUUCAUUUUAUUGUUGACAGUGUUGUUUUAGAAAAACCGUUUGCUUGUCGCUCUUCUUUAAAAAAAACUCGAAGUUAAACUAAUACAGUAGAAAAACCAUUUUUCAAGUAAAUUUGGAAAAUUAAUUGCCUUACCAAUUUGUUUUUCAAAAAUAGUUCCUUUGCAAUGUAGUGGAAACUAGGGAACACCAUUAAAUUUUACUUAAGCCCGAUAUCAUGCAUUAUCCGAUUAUUAUGCUUGAGUAACUCAUGCAUGCAAAAAUCCCCAAAAGAAAAGUUACCAAGCCACAAACCAGAAAUAAUUAAAAAUUACAAGUCAAAACCAAGAAAUACUUAAUAAUACUUAAUUAAAUAAUAAUAAUCUGAGGUUCAAGUUGAUUUUCCGAAUGCCGAGUCUGAUCCUAAUUUUGAGGUUUACCUAAAAAGUUAAACACUAUUGGGGGUGAGCUUAUGAAAAGCUCAGUGUGAGUCAAAUAAUUAUUUAAACUGGCAAAAACAUCAAAUACAGUGAAACAUAUUAGCAUUAACAGAAGAAAAUAGAACCAUUAUAGGAAUUUCUUGUUCAUUACAUAGCCAUUAUCAAAUUGAUGUCAAACGGUGUGUGAGCAUAGGUCAUCAUUCUUUCAAGUAACAAUCAUUAAUUAUGAUACCAUUCAAUACAACAAAAUACAAUGCGUAGCAUAAAUCAAUAACAUUCGAAUAUGUCAUGCACAUAACGCAAUGCAAAAAGGUUCCUACCCAUACUAUCUGCUACACACCACGAGUUCCCCAAAACCUAUCUGCCAAACUCCAAAACAUUAUGAGCAUAGCUCGAUGUGGUAAAACCACCGAAUAAUCAAUAAUGCAGAAAAUUUGUUGGAUAUCAAAUAGUGCGAUAUAAUUGCCAAUAACAUAUAAUAUACGAUAAAAUCGUCAAUCUCCUCGGUGCUCUAGGUGUAGUGUACUGACUUCGAAUAAUGCGAACUUAAUAUGCCGUUGGUACUCCACAGAACUCCUCCGUCAACCACAAAAUUCCAACCCAAUGCAUAUGCAAUAUACCGCACAAUCUCAUAUAUAAUCAUAUUUCAAUACUUUUCACAUUCAUUUGACAUGCUCAUCAUGUCCUCAAUAAUCACAUACUUUCAGUAAUGGAAGCAGUGUUCCAAUCUUUCAAAUUACCAUUAUGUUGGUAUCAAUCAAUAUUGUUCAAUUUUACAUACUUUACGGAAUUUUAUUGUGCAUAAAUAUCACCCUUUUCAGUACACAAUCUAACAAAUAUCUCAUGCAUUUAUAUCAUACAUAAGCUUAAUAUCUCAAUACACUAUAUCAUUUAGUCAAACAUUCUCAUAUCUCAUAACUCAAAUAUGCAAUUACAAACUCAAUCAAACAUCCAUACUAUCAAACUAGGCUUUUUGCCAACAUGUCAAUCUUUUAAGGCUCGAAACAUACCUGGUUCGGCCACUCACAAAAUCAAUAAUUUGGCUAUUAAUUCAAUCCAAUCAGAAAACUAAUUUAUCAAAUAUAAUAUGAUAUUUAACAUUUUCAAACAAUUUUAUGAGUUUAGGACCCACACCUUAUUUUUCACUUCCUCGCAGCACACUAGCGAAUCUUCCAAUUUUCCUUAAUAAUUCCUUAAAUGAACCUAAACCAAAAUUCAGUAUAAAUUCAAUCAAUUUACCAUUAAAUCAGCCCCCAAACACCCACUUAUGAAUUCAAACCAGUCGUUGAAAUUAUAACUAUUUUAUGAAUCCAAACUAGUUAGAUUCAUUACACUGUAUCGAUGCAAACUGUACGUACAAUCGUUCUUUGCCUUUACAGAUGAUUUGGGGUGUUUGGGUCAGCAGCUAAUUCAAUAAUACACUGGAAAAUAAAUAUCUAAUUAAUUAUUAAAUUCCUUCAUUUAAUCAAUUCAUAACCUUUACCCAACAACUAUGUUGAAAUAACAAACUAGUUACCCUUAAUUGCACUUACGCUUCAUGAUUUGUGGAAUCCAAAUGACCAAUUUAUCAAGAACAUUUUUCCCUAAUUGUAAUGGGUUUAAAAUCUGAAUAUGAGGGUUCAAGAACUCAAAUUAAUUCUGGAAAAAUAUAGGCAAGAACCAAGAAACAAAACAACCUCUUUUCUUGACCAUAGGUGCACGCACCACCACCAACGGUGGCCAAAAGUGGGGCUAAAUUUUAAAACAAAUUGAGAUUUCAUUAAAAUCUAGAAAAAUACCUUUGAAAUCAUUUAAAAUCCACAAAAUUCCAGAUCUAGAAAUUUAUGUUUUUUUUAAUGGACAAGAUUCAUUAAGAAAUUGAAGAGAGAAGAUACCUUACCCAAGCUAGUCGAGAUAAACGACUAUAACACUUUCUUGGCAAUGUUCGGGACCAAUCUUGGAGUUCAAGAUUUCAAAUUUGGGGCUAAUUUUAAUGAGGAAAAAUGAUAGCAAUAUGGUGGAAAAUAUGUUAACAAAUCUUGUGGCAAAAAGAAAAAGAAAAAAAAAAGAAAAAGAUGGUAAAACUAGGUGUAGGCACGACAACAAUAGAGGAAAGGAAAAAAAUUAAAAUCAAAGAGAAUGAGAGGAUGAGAGGAAUGGAUAGGGAAAUGAGGAGGAGGAUUAAAGGCUGAUUAUUAGUGAAAAAUUAAUAUUUAUACCUAGGUUAACUAGGCUUGGAUGGCCCACACAUUACAACAAGGGUUUUUUUGUCAAAAAAUUAAAUUAUUUGCAUGGGAAGGGAAUUGAAGGUGAGACCUCAAGGAUAAAUUCACUAAUUUUUAACCAUCAAACCAAUAACGCAUUCUUGAUAUAAUUUGAAAUAUUUAUUUAAAAAAUAAGGCAUGUCACAUACUAGGGUUUAAGGCAAAAUUUGCAAAAUAAUAAAAAUUGUGAGAGAGAAGGGAUUUGAACUUGGGUUUCAAGGAACAUUUCAUUAACACUUAACCAAAAAACCAGUACCUCAUUUAUUUUCAAAAAAUGAAUAGAUAAAUUUUAAAAAUUAAGCCACUCUCUCUCGAUUCACAAACCCGAUUCUACUAAUCCUUGAUUUUUUGGAUGUUACAAUGUGUGUAUUGUGAUAUGCGUUUAUAUGACAUGUGGUCAUUAUGUAAUUUCUCUAUAAAGAUGUUUCCGAGUAUUGUGAUAUAUGCUUGACCGUUAUGCGAUUAAAUGAGUAUUGCUAUAUGUGCUUGAGCAUUAAGUGAUUAUAUGUGUAAUAUGGUGCAUGCUUAAAAGUUAAUAUGUUUACCAUGUAAAAGAACUAGUGAUAAUGCUAUAUGGUUGUUUCGUUUAUGCUUGAUGAAUUGUUUGCAUUGUGGUGAUUCCAAGCAUUCUCAGAGCUUGUUAAGCUCACCCAAUCCUUUUAAAUAAUUAUAGAUUAGUUGUGUGCCGGUGUGAGCGGUGUGGUUUCCGAGAGUUGAUCCAAGCAAGUCUAUUUAUUAUUUUGUGGGUGUUCUAUAUUUAUUUAUGUUUUGGGGAAUGAGGCAAUAUGGUAGACUUGUUUAUAGCCAUGUUAAGUUCUUGACAUUUUGCUGGUUUUGGGUUUGGGUUUAUAAGGAUUGCAUGUUAUUGUUAUGCUUAAGUUCAUGAACAUUACGAUGGAUUGACAUUACUUGUUCGAACAUGAUUUUACGAUAUUGAAUUGUUAAUUAGGCCGUUGAAUGAUUAUUUGUAGAAGUAAUUGAUGUAUGAUGUUUAGGAACUAUACUGGAAUGGAUUAAUUACUUAUAUAUGCUGCAUUUUUUAGUUCUGGAGCAGAGGUAUUGAUAAUCAAGUUUUAAAAUUGAUACCUCUAUGUUUUGAAAUGUGCAGAAAGUAAAAAUAGAGAUUUGGUAUCCAUACCUUUGCUCAAGUAUCGAUAAUUUUUUAGACUUUGAUUUUUAAUCGAGAAACAUAAUGCAAGUUUGGUAUCAUUUUUUCCAAGUAGUAUCGAUACCACUUAAAGAAAAUAUUGAUUCCUUAGUGUCAGUAUUGAUACUUUCAGACCUGGAUUGAGAAUUUUGCUUAAUGGAUCUUAUGCAUGUUUUAAUAUGUUUAUAAGACUAUUUAAUGUAAGUUUAGAACGUAAUAUUAAUAACUAGCUAGUAUGAUUGACUGAAAAUCGAUGCGAAUAGCAAACUAAUGGAUGUUUUGUUGAAAUGAGCUUUUACUAGUUGGUUAUGACAUGAGACAGAAGUGUGGCAUCCUGAUAUUAGAGCUUGGCGACCAGGUCGGGUAUAGGGUGUUACAUUUUAUGGUAUCAGAGCUAUAGAUUUAAUAACUCUCAGACCCUUGGUGAUUAUUAUGUGUUGGGAGUUUCAAAACUUAUGGGUCUAAAUUUUUCUAUUUUCUUAGAAUAGUUGAUAUAACUUUGUUUGAACUGCAUGUGUUUGUUUAAAAUGUUCUAGUUGAAUUGCAUUUGGGGUAGGAAUGGGAACACAUUGCCUUUAAUCCUAAAUUUUACUUGUAGGAAGAAACUUGGAUCAUCUCCUUGCCACUAACACCAUUUGUUUGUUUGUUUGUAUGUAUUAGAUUAGAUUCAAUAUGCCUUGUAAAUGUGUUAACAUGAGAGCUAAUGCUCAGGAGGAUGGUACAUCCUCCGCACCUCCUAUACCGCCGCGUAGAGUGAAUAUACCUGAUGAGGGUGUAGGCCCUCUAAUGGAAGUUAUAAUUGGAGCGUUUCAACGAAUUUCUAGUGCUAACACUACUAAUGCUCCUGUCAAUCCUGCACUUGUGAAUCGUGGGUUACCGCUUUAACAUCUUUGGGCAUUGGGUGGUAAAGAGUUUUCUGGAGUAAAAAGUAUUGGUCCGACCGUAGUUGAGUAUUGGUUGGAAGGAGUUGAAAAGAUCCUCGAACAAAUGUCUUAUUUUGACAAGGAAAUGUUGGGUUUUGUUAUGUCCUUACUUAAUAGUGAGGCUCAUCGUUAGUGGAAUAUUAUUAAGAGGGGUACUUUUUCUGAUAGAUUGACUUGGAAUUAUUUUCUCAAGGUUUUUAAGAGGGAGUUUAUGGGUGAGCAGUAUAGGGAGGCUCAUAAGCGCGAGUUUUUGGAUUUGGUUUGAGGAGAUUUUUCUGUGGCUGAUUAUGAGGCUGAGUUUGUACGACUUAGUUAGUAUGCUCCUGGGAUGAUACUUUCUGAAAAGGACCACUAUAAGAGGUUUCAUUUUGGGAUUAAUCAUGAGACUUAGGCUUAUUUGGUAGCAUAGAAUGUAGAGAUGUUUGAUGAGUUAGUUGAGAAAGCCAAAGUAGUUGAGGAGACUUUGGCUAAGUUGCCUCGUUUUGUGGUAACUAAAUUGGGUAAGAAGACUUCUGAUGGUGCAUCUGGACGACCGUCUAAGAGAAGACGGUAAAUUCAGGGUUCUGAUGGGAGUGUAGAUACGAGUUUCAACAAAGUGAGUCUAAAAAAUAGAAUAAUGUAGUGGUUAGCAAUAGUGGGUUGACGGGUGGUUCUAGAUGACCGCUUUGUGUGCAUUGUGAGCAUAGGCAUCCUGAUGAGUGCCGUAAGCUGACAGGUGGUUGUUUUAAAUGUGGUUCGAAGGAACAUUUUUUGAGGGAUUACCCAAAUAGAGUUGAGGUUUCGCAGACUUAGAGUUUGACACUUGUUAGAGUUUGACACUUGCUUCAAUGCUUGCUAGAGGCCGUGGUUGCGAUACAGGUAAUGGAAGACCGGUUGGGCAGCGAAUUGUUGCUCAUACUAUUGCUACAUUGGUUGAGUCUGGAGGUCCAGCUCGAGUUUAUGCUAUUAGGAAACCACAAGAUUGAGAUUUGAACAUUGAUAUUGUGGGUAUUCUUACCUUGUAAUCACUUCUUUUAUUGCCGUUGAUAGAUUUAGGUUCUAUGCCUUCAUAAAUUUUAAGUGAAUUAGCUAAUAAGUAGAGAAUCCUGAUAGAGACUACUGAGUUAGGAAAAAUGGUUACGACUUCUUUAGACGAAAGUGUCAUAGUGAAUAAAGGAAACUGUUAGCAAAGUUUCUGUAGAAUAAGUUUCCGGUAUUAAAUAGGAUCAUUAUGGAAAGUAGUAGGAAGUUAGAGAGAAUGGGAAUCAGAGUGCGCAGUGAAAGUGUGAUAGUUAGUUUAAAAGUAGAAAUAGCAUAUCUUCUAAUUAAGCAAGUGAUGUGUCAGUUGGGAAUUUCGAGGACAAAAUUCUUUUUAGAGGGGGAGAAUUGUCACACCCCAAAAUAGGACUUAGGAGUUUUAGGGAUAAUUUAGGAAUUUUAGCCUUAGAGUGUUCGAAAUUUUGUGACAUGGUUUAUCGAUAAUGUUUAUUACUAUUAUUUUUAGAAAAUUAAAUCAAUUUCUGAAACUGAGUUUUAAAUAACUUUAAUUUUGAAAAUAGGACUGAUGUGUAAAAAAGUCAAAAUUGUGAGUUUUUAAGAGGUAAUUAAACUAAAUUUUAAAAUUCAGCCUCAUACUUCCCCCACCUACAUAUAUUUUACGCUAGUUCUUCUCUUCCCAUUCUUGUUGUCGUCCCUUUGCUUUCCCACAGUUAUUUCAAUUGAUUUUGAUUCCUAAUUUCUAUUCCUUCGAUUUCUAUCAUCCUCCUAGUCAUGAACCUCCAUCAAAAACCAAGAAAAACACACAAAAUCACCAUAGUUUCCUCCAUUGUCGAGCUUGUGGGUUUUUCGGGUUGUUGAUCAAAUGCUCAGGUUUUUACCAACAAAGGUAACGAUUUAUCUCCCUAUUAGGUUUAAAUGUUAUUUAGUCUUUAAAACCAAGUUUUUAGCCAUUAAAUUGCAAUUUUAAAUAAAAGCUGAAAAUUGGGUCGUUAAUGGUGGAUUUUGGGAUUUUGCAUAAAAAUGUGAUUUCAAAGUAUUUUUCAACUUGUUUUAACAUGAUUAGAAGGGUUCUAAACUUCCUUUGAAGUUGUGUUAAAGAUUUCUUGAGUGAUUAUAUGUGUAAUAUGGUGUAUGCUUAAAAGUGAAUAUGUUUACCUUGUAAAAGAACUAGUAAUAAUGCACGAGUAAGUAUAAUAUGACACUAGAAUUAGAACUAUUGAGGUUAUGCUAUAUGGUUAUUUCGUUGACGCUUGAUGAAUUGUUUGCAUUAUGGUUAUUCUAAGAUUUGACAGAGCUUGUUAAGCUCACCAACUCCUUUUAAACCAUUACAGAUUAGUUGUGUGCCCAUGUGAGUAGUGUGGUUUCCGAGAGGUGAUCCACUCAAGUCUAUUUAUUAUUUCGUGGGUGUUCUAUAUCUAUUUAUGUUUUGGGGAAUGAAGCAAUGUGGUAGACUUGUUUAUAACCAUGUUAAGUUCUUGACAUUUUGCUGGUUCUAGAUUCGGUUUAUAAGGAUUGCAUGUUAUUGUUAUUCUUGAGUUCACGAACAUGAGGAUGGAUUGACAUUACUUGUUCAAACACGAUUUUGCAAUAUUGAACUGUUAAUUAGGCCGUUGAAUGAUUAUUUGUCAAAGUAAUUGAUGUAUGGUGUUUAGGUACUAAAUUGGAAUGGAUUAAUUGCUUAUAUAUGCUGCAUUUUUGAGGUUUGUAAUGAAGGUAUCGAUAAUCGGGUUUUUAAAUCGAUACCUCUGUGUUUUGAAACGUUCAAGAAGUUAAAAUAGAGAUUUGGUAUCCAUACCUUUGCUCGAGUGUUGAUACUCGGGGUAAAUUUAUCGAUACUUUACGACAGUACCAAUAAUUUUUGAGACUUUGAUUUUUAAACGAGAAAUAGAAUGCAAGUUUGUUUGUUUGUUUGUAUGUAUUAGAUUAGAUUCGAUAUGCCUCCUAGAUGUGUGAACAUGAGAGGUAGAGCUCAAGAGGAUGGUAUAUCCUUUGCACCUCAUGUACCACCGCGUAGAGUGAAUAUACCUAAUAAGGGUGUAGGCCCUUUAUUGGAAGCGAUAAUUGGAGUGUUUCAAUAGAUUACUAGUGCUAAUCCUACUAUUGCACCUGCCAAUCCUACACCUGUGAACCGUGGGUUACCGCUUGAACAUCUUCGGGUAUUAGGUGGUAAAGAGUUUUUCGGAGUAAAAGGUCCUAAUCUGACCGUAGCUGAGUAUUGGUGGGAAGGAGUUGAAAGGAUCAUCGAACAGAUGUCCUAUUUUGACAAGGAAAUGUUGGGUUGUGUUGUGUAUUUACUUGACAGUGAGACUCAUUGUUGGUGGAAUACGAUUAGGAGGGGUAUUGCUUCUAAUAGAUUGACUUGGAAUUAUUUUCUCGAGGUUUUUAAGAGGAAGUUUAUGGGCGAGCAGUAUAUGGAGGCUCAUAAGCACGAGUUUUGAUUUGGUUCAAGUAGAUUUUUCUGUGGUUGAUUAAUAGGUUGAGUUUGUGCGACUUAGUCAGUAUGCUCUUGAGAUGAUACUUUCUAAAAGGGACCAUUUUAAGAGGUUUUUUUUUUGGGCUUAAUUGGUAGUACAAAAUGUAAAGAUGUUUGAUGAGUUAGUUAAGAAAGCCAAUGUAACAGCCCAAUAUUGACCCUAAUCGAACAUAGUGGUUUCGGGACCACAAAUCCGAGUUAGAAAAAUAUUUUAAUAUUAUUUUGUGUGUUUAUUAUGUGUGAAUUUGAUUGUGUGAAAUUUUCGUGUUUUAAUUUCGUCGUUUAAGUGUCCGAUUUAGUAAAAGGGCUUAAUCGCGUAAAAUGAAAAUUAAGGGGUUAAAUAUAAAAGCGCCUAGUUGUUGUUGUCUUUUUAAAUGGGAGGAUUUAUGAUGCAAUAAGACUAUAAAGUAGAUAGUGGGUGGCAUAUGACAUAAUUAACCUUAAUAUAUAUGUUAUAUAUAUUUAUUAUAAUAAGGUUAAUUUUGUCAAUUAUUAAAUUAAACAUUAUAAUUAAAAAUAAAUGAUGAAAAGAUGAAUGUUUUCAUCUUUUCUUAGCCGAAUGUUAACAUGAAGAACCCAACUAUGGCUUUUUAAAGUUCGGCACUUUCAUAGCUUAAUUAAGGUUAGUUUUGUUUUGGUUUUUGAUAAUUUUUACGUUUUUGAGAUCGUUGCUUUGUGUACUACAAGACCCAUGCUUUAAUUUUAGAAUUUGAUGGUGAUUUUGAGAUAUGUCAUUGAUGAAUGUUUGAGCUUUUAGAUAGUUGAUGAUGAAAUAUGAAAGAUGGGUCAAAGAUUAAUAUGUUUUGUCUUUGAAUUUUUGGUGAAAUUGAGUAAAUAGGGCUAUUGUGAAAUUAAAUUUUUAAGGGACUAAAAUGUAAAUUAAAUGAAAUGUGUGGACUUGUAUGAAGCCUAUGAACAAUCAGCCCUAGCAUAGGUUAGGCAAAUUUUGUUUAUUUUUUGUUUUAUGCAAUAGGGACUAAAUUGCAAAAAGUGUAAAAUUCUAGGGGCAAAAUGGUAAUUUGCCCAUUUAUGUGUUUUUGGACUAAAUUGAAUGUAAUAAUAUUUAAAAUAGUUUAUUUUGAAUAUAUUUAGAUCAAAAACCAAAGAAAUCGGAGUUGGAUCGGGAAAAAGCUAAAGUCGUCGACUAAUCAUCCGGUUUCGAUUUUACACUGUCCGAGGUAAGUCUAUUAGCAAUUUGAUGUUAUUAAAUCAAUAUAUAUGUAUGUAUAUCUAUAUGUAUAAAUUCUUGUUUUUAAUCAAAGGUAUAUAUAUAAUAUAUAUGUAUACAUAAGGUCCGAAUAUAUAUAAGUAUAUACAUGUAUAAACCCUUGGACUUGGUUAAAGGUAUGAAUGUUUUAUAUAUGUAUAUGUGAGUUGGAACAUAUAUGUAUAUACAUGAAUAAGUCUUGAAUAUAUUUAAAGUUAUGAAUAUUAUGUAUGUAUAUGUAAAUUCGAAUAUGUAUGUAUAUACAUGUAUAAGUUUUUGUAUUGAAUUAAAUGUAUGAAAUGGUUAGCUUAGAUUAUCUAUUAGGUAUUCGAAUGUAUGAUAUAUUUUCUUUGAAUUGAUUUUUAAUGUUAUGAAAUAUAUAUGUAUUUAAGUGAUUCGAUUAGUAAAUGUAUAUUACUUAAGGUAUGAUAUAAGUUAAAUGAUAAGAUUUCAGUAGUAGAAUUUAUUUUAUUAAGUUAUAUAUAUGUGAGUGUUCAGAUGUUUAAUUAAGUUAUUUAGCUGAAUUUGGUAUUUGAUAUUUAUAUAUCUAUGUGGUUUAAAGAUAUAGUUUAUAAAUUAUUGAGCUGAAUUUUUAUUUAUGGAUAUUAUAUAUACAAAUAUAGUUCGAAUAUGAGUUACAACUUCUGUGAAUUGAGAUUUUCAGGCUCAGUGCCUAUCAGGUUUAUUGUUAGUGAAAUAAUUUAGACUUUACGUCUAGCAGGCUUGAUGCCGGUGAAACAUUUCAGACUAUAUGUCUAGCAGGCUAAGUGCCGGUGUACAAAAUCAGGCUUUAAGCCUAGUAGGCUAAGUGCCGGUGAAUCUGUUUAAAGUAUGUGAUUACAUGUAUUGGAUAUGUAUAUGAUUUCAGUUACAUGUAUUUGAUGAGUAUACAAAUGUUCAGUUAUAUGAUUUUGGUUAUAUUUAAAUGAUGAGCAUAUAUAUAUUCGGUCUAAGUAUUUGUUAAAUAUAUAUAUGUGCAUUUGGUAUAUGCAUAUAUUAAAUAUAUAUGCAUUAGGUAUAUGCAUUUGCUAAGCAAUUGAUAAAUAUAUAUAUUCGGAAAAUGUAUUCGAUAAGUAUCUAUAUAUGUAUUUGAGGUGUAUAUACAUUUGAUUAUAAGUAUUUGAUGAAUAUGUUUGCAUUCGGUUAUAUGCAUUAGAUAUGUAUUGGGUUAUAAGUUUAAGAUGAGUAUAUAUAUACAAUCGGAUAUAAUAUGUGUUUAAUAUAUAUAUACGUGUUUGGUUAUAUGCAUUCGGUCAUAAUGUUUAUUUAGUAUAUAUAUGAUCGGUUAUAUGCAUAUGAUGUAUAUGUAUACAUAUAUUCAGAUGUAUGCAUUCGACAGGUACAUAUAUUUGAUUAUAAAUAAAAUGGUUUAAGGAUAGCAAAUGCUAAUAUAAUAAUUAUUUGUGUUAUUUACAAUUUUAGUAAAUUUAAUUUGGAAAUUAUAUGACUUUUAUAUAUAUAUUAGUUAUGCUAUAGACUUACUAAGCUAUAUAAGCUUACUUUGUUUGUUUACGUCUCUCCGUUUUAUAGACUUAAAAAUUCAAGCUUCAAGCUCGGGGAUCGUCAACAAAGUUCAUCACUCUAUCUACUAUCUUGGUAUUUAAAUGUUAGAACUUAACUUAUGGCUUGUAUAAGUUGGACAUUAUUUUUGUAUGUUGUAUUUUGAGAUACUGUUUAUGUAAAUAUUAGCCAUGCGAAAAUGGCUUAUUUCCUUAUGGUUUAGAUCGUUGCAAUGUUGAUGUUUUGUUUUAAAAUAGUUAAUUUAUAUUUGAAAUUAGUCAAAUAGCCGAAUAUUCAUAAGGUAGAAUAUCAUUUAGAUUGAAUGUUAAUAGGUUAUAAAGAAUAAGUAGAUAAGUUCAGGUACAAUUUGAGUUAAACAAAUUUUCAUAUAGAUGUUAAAAUUUUUGAAUUCAAAUAAACGUCUGUUCUGAGUUGUGUUUUGUUCAGUAAUGUCUUGUAACCCUAAUUCAGUGACGGAUACGAGUUAGGGGUGUUAUAGCCAAAGCAAUUGAGGAGACUUUGGCUAAGUUGCCUCGUCCUGUGAUAACUGAAUCGGGUAAGAGGACUUCUGAUGGUGUACCUGGACGACUGUCUAAGAGAAGACGUGAAAUUCAGGGUUCUGAUGGGAGUGUAGAACAUGAUUUUCAACCAAGUGAGUUUAAGAAAUAGAGUAAUGUAGUGGUUAGUAAUAGUGGUUCGACGGGUGGUUUUAGAUGGCUGCUUUGUGUGCAUUGUGAGUGUAGGCAUUCUGGUGAGUGCCGUAAGUUGAUAGGUGUUUUUUUAAAUGUGGUUCGAAGAAACAUAUUCUGAGGGAUUACCCAAAUAGAGUUGAGGUUUCGCAGACUUACAGUUCAGCACAUGCUUCUGUGCUUGCUGAAGGUCGUGGUCACGGUAGAGGUAAUGGGAGACCAGUUGGGCAGCGAAGUGUUGCUCAUACUGUUGCUACAUUGGUUGAGUCUGGAGGUCCAGCUCAAGUUUAUGCUAUUAGGGAACCACAAGAUCAAGAUUCAAACGUCAAGAUUGAGAGUAUUUUUGCCUUGUAAUCACUUCUUUUAUUGCCGUUGAUAGAUUUAGGUUCUAUGCCUUCAUAAAUUUUAAGUGAAUUCACAUUUUAGAGAAUCCUGAUAGAGACUAGUGGGUUAGGAAAAAUGAUUACGAGUUCCUUAGACAAGAGUGUCAUAGUGAAUAAUGGAAAUUGUUGCAAAGUUACUUUAGAAUAAGUUUGUGGUAUUAAAUAGGAUCAGUAAAGAAAGUUGUAGGGAGUUAGAGAGAAUGGGAAUCAGAGUGCGAAAUGAAAGUGUGAUAGUUAGUUUAAAAGUAGAAAUAGCAUGUCUUUUGAUUAAGCAAGUGAUGUGUCAGUUGGGAAUUUUGAGGAUUGAAUUUUUUUUAGAGGGGAAAUUGUCACACCCUAAAAUAGGGCCUAGGAGUUUUAGGGGUAAUUUAGGAAGUUUAGCCUUAGAGGGAUUCAUUUAAAAUAGCCAGUGUUAUUGAAGACGCAUUGAGUUUGAAGCAAUUUCCAUACUUGUUGUGAGAUCGAGCACAAGCAUGGGUGAAUUCGUUGCCGCCAAGUUCAAUAACUACAUGGCAAGAAUUAGCAGAAAAGGUUUUUGGUUAAGUAUUUUCCACCUAGUAAGAACACCAAGUUGCGAAAUAAGAUAACCACUUUUUCACAAUUGGAUGACGAAUCCUUGUACGAGGCAUAAGAAAGAUUCAAGGAGUUACUUUGUAAGUGUCCUCAUCACAGGAUUCUACAUCGUAUCCAAUUAGAGACAAUUUAUAACGGUCUCAAUGUACACAUAAGAUUUAUGGUAGAUGUUUCUGCAAAUGGUGCAAAUUUUUUCUAAGUCUUGUAAUGAGGCUUACGAGAUCAUUGAAAGGAUCGCUAGCAACAACUAUCAAUGGCCAACAAAUCGAGCAACUUCAGGAAGACGAGUAGCCAGAGUGCACGAAAUGGACGUACUAACAUCACACUCAACUUAAGUAUCUUUUAUUUCCUCAAUGUUAAAAUAGUUUACCACUAAUGGUUCUAAUAAUUUUACAGCUCAACCAUCAAGUUAAUAUGAUGUUGUUUCUUGUGUAUAUUGUGGGAGUGGACAUUCUUUCAAGAAUUGCCCUUCAAACCCUGAGUCUAUUUGUUACGUAAGGAAUCAGUCUCAAAAUAGAAGUGGACAAGGACCAUAGUCCAACUUCUAUAAUCAUUCGUGGCGUAAUCAUCUGAAUUUUUCUUGAAGUAACCUAGGAAAUGUACCGAACAACACCUACAUGCAACAUAGACCCAACCAAUCUCAAAGGUUUAACCAACAAGCUUCAAAACCACCUCAAGGUGAAUCAUCAAACAUUCAAAAUAGAUAAGGAAUUGAAAGCUAGUGCAUUGGGUGUACGACUUCUGUAGUAUGUAGUGUCAUUCAAAAUAGUGGAAUUCAUAGCCCGAUGCAUGGGUAAAUGAUAUCCUCUCAUUGGCAUUACAUGGUUAAUGAAAAGUAAACAUGGUCAUGGGUCUUUCGUGUUUGUGAUGAAUGACUUAAUUACCAUUUGAUAUUAAUUGACUUUUCAUGAAGGAAGAUGUAGUGGUUACCAUGAGAUAAAAUAGUACUAUAUUAGGAGAACAGAUAUUAUCCCAAAAGGUCCAAGGAUAUACUAUGAGGGUAACACAUUUAUGAUAAGGUCAUUGGACGAGCAUUGAGUAGUUGUUUUUGUAAUUGUAUGUCGUUAGGGAGAGCUUAGUCAUGAUACUAUAGUGGAAUGACUCCGUGACUAAACGAGUUUAUAAUUAAUAGGCAAAAAUAUGGAACUUAUAAAUCAUUUGAGUCUCAACUAUAUAUGUUCAAUCGAUCCCUCCAGUAGCUCGUUGAAACCAUAAAUGAAUUGUGUGUUUGAAUAGAAAUGAAAAAAAAUGAAUAGAAAAAUAGAUGAGAAACAUUCAGGAAUGAUUAUGAUUUCUCUUAAAUGGAGAAAUAGAACCAUUUGGAAACGAAUGUAGGUUUUCCAAAAUGGAAAUGGAAAUGAUUCAUUUGCAAUUCUAUAUGGAUUACUUAAAAAUGAUCAAAAAAAUGAGUUUAUGUUUUUGAGCUAUUUUGAAGCACAAAAAUGAAAAUAAACUAUUUGGUGUCAUAGUGAACAUGUUAAAUAGUGAAAUAUUGAAUGAAUUUUCUUGAAAUUUUACUUAGGGUAAAAUUGUCAAAAAAAAUUGGGGGAUAAAAUUGGGAUAAGAAAAUUAUUUAAUAUGUAUUUAUUGAAGUUUAUUUUAGGAAAUAGAAAAAUAUAAUUGGGUUGGAUCAAAUUACAAAGUAUUGGGUCAAAAAGUCUGGGAAGUACUAGUAAUUAAGUCUGAUGUGAGAGAGGCCCAAAAAGCCUAUCAUGAAACACGGUGGGAUGGCAGAAUCCUAGUAUUAUUAACUAAGGUUUCCAACCCCUACACCCUAGUUGAUCUAGGAUAUUGUUUUUCUAAUGCAAAUAAACUUUUACAACUCUACAAGGGUUCUAUCUUCUCUUCCUAUAAAUAGAUGACACCGAUAUAGCUAUUUACAGAUCUUUGAGAGAUUGUUAUUAUGUCGAAAAUAGAGAUAAUAUAUUCUCAACUGUUACACAUAUUUUCAGAAUAACAAUUCUAUUUGUUUCUAUUAAAAAGAGAGAAUUUUCGUUUUCAUCCCAAAAAGGAGAGAAUUUUUAUUUUUACCCCAAAAAGGAGAGAACUUUUUUUUAAUUCUGUGUUUCGAUUUAAUUGGUUCUAGCCCACACUUGAAGUAGUUCGUGGUACGAGAAUAGCAGAGAAGAUCAUUUGGUUGAAAACUGGGAACAACAAACGUCUACUAAGCCAAAAACAUAGGUAUGAAUUCAGUUAGGGUAUAUUGCUACAAAUAUCAUAAACCAGGUCGGUUUUCAAUUUUUUAAUUUUCUGUUGUGCAAGAAAAUCAUUUUCAAACCAGAUUUUUUCAAGAAAACCGUCAUAUAAGAAAAAUCGUAAACUUGAAUGGUCAAUUAGGUAACAGACCGCUGGAAACUAUAGGCCAAAACAGUCCACUGCAGACAGACAUGUUACAUCUUAUAAGUAAUGUAACACAAAUAGGGCUAAUUACGAGGAAGUAAUCAAAAUAAUAUUUCAACCCGAAUGUAGGGUGAAAUGAGGUUUAGUCCUUCAUAGUGUCGUGGGUCCUUGUUAGAUAACUUGACUGAUGGGAUAUUAACAAGUCCUUUCAGACUACAAUAAAAAAAAAGAGUCUGCUAAGGACUAGUUAGAUUGGGAAUGUUAUGCCAAGGAAGACAUAACCAAGGGGGUCUUUAGGAUGGAAGAUUAGGAGAACAACCUUAAAGUAUAUGGCGAAAGAGAGAAUGUAGGCAAAGAAAGGACAAAGUUCGCAGUUAUUCCGAGACAUUUGAAAAAUCACCAAAUCAAGUUGGAUGGCUACAAGAUCUACUUGGGGAAGAUCAUUUAUCGAUCUAUUUGCCAAUAGACGGGAUUGGAAACUGAAUUGGAGUCCACUAUCCCAAAGUGAGAGAAAUUGUCCCGAAACGAUCAGGGAAUGAAACACAUUUGGUUUCUUUUUCAUUUAUUUACCCCCGCAAGAUGGGGUCUAUUUUUUAGUAUUGCAGUGAAGAAACUCACUAAGUUCUUAUGAACUUAUAGAAAUUUUUGCCUACGUUUGCAAGACUCGAUGGGAUAUUAGGGAUCUUGAGGAGAGACCAAGCCAGACCGUGAUAGAUCGAGGAUCAUUGUUAGUUUGGUGUCAUGCACAUAGGAAGGGGUACCUUCCAAGGCCUUGCCUCGGAGUUAGAUAUAUUGUAAUGAAAUAGUUGUUCUUAGAAUUUAGAAUUUGAAAGUAGUCAAAUUAAGUUCGGUUAAAGGUUCCUGUUGUAGAAACAUUUGUAAUAAAGUAACAAAGUCAUUCUACGAAUUUUCUAAUUAAAGUAUUAGUUCAAACCAGUUCAAUUGUAGCACUCGAUAUUUGAACUCGCGAUCAGGUCGGGUAAGGGCGUUACAAUGUAGGAGGAAUUUGAUAAUUGACCAUUUAUUGUGUUUAAUUUUGAUAUAUUUUUAAUGAGAUAUCACUAAUUUUGAACUUGUUAUUUGAUUUGUGAUUUAGUGCAAAUCAAAUUCGAUAAAGUCAAAAAGAAUCGAAAUUGUGGACCACCAAAAGACUUUUGGCCUAGAGAAUACAUUAAUGAACAAAGAUUUUUGGAUACUUUUAGUUUGAAAUUUUAAUUGUAAAACUUUUACUAUUAAAUUUUUAUUAAGAUAAUAUUUUAUUUUCUAGUAAAUUUUUUUAAUUUUUGAAUAACUUCUUAAUAUUAUAUUAAGAGGUCUAGGUAGGAUUAAGGUGAUAGGAGAGGAGGGCGCCACCCAUUAUACUUGGAAUCUGAGCAAAUCAAUUUUGCAAUCUUAAUUUCCCUGUUCUAUUUCUCCUCUGUUGGCGCGAUAUUCCGCAAUAUCUCUCUUUUGUGGUAUAUGUCUAUUUUCAUGAGUAACUAAACCUCCAAUCUAGUUUUAUAUCGAUAAUGGAUGCGGGAGAUAAUAGUGAUAUCUAAAAUAAUACUUAAAAACCCUCAUUUCAAUAUUUGUUAUUUUUUCUGUUUAGGAGAUAGACAUCGUCAUCUUAUAAAGUCAUAAUAGCAUCAAGUCAAAAAGAGUUCAUUAAUUCGAUGUUGUGCAACAUAUAAUUAGAAGAACUGAUAUGAUUUAUAAUUAUCGUAAUUGGCCCAUUAAAAAAUAAAUUGACAUGAUCAAUUGAGUGAGUUGUUAAAUUUGUCAAAGGAAAGAACAAUCAAAUUUAAACGACUCACACGAUUGAGGUUGUUGAUUCGAGUCGGGUCCUUCUAACUCACAAAGCUAUUGAAGAGCUAAAUCAUGGAUGCUGGUUCAGGGUUGUUCGUUCGGUAAGAGAUAAUUGUCAAGCGUUCUCACAGUUAAUUUAUAUACAGAAAGGCUGGUGAUCUAAGGCAUUCCUUGAUCAUUAUAACAAACUUAUCGAUUGGAGAAGAAGAUUUGUUGUUAAAUAUCUAUUCGAAACCGGAACCAAAAUUGAGCCUCUAAACCUGGAGUAUUGUCACAUUGGUUUAUCCAAUCAUAUGUCCUUCCGUUUAUUCCAUUGCAAUUUUGAUUUUUUUUAUUUUUUUAUUUUUAUUUUAAUCAAAUUUAGUUUCUCAUACAGAUUGACACAUGUGGGUGUAAUACUCGAUUUUUACCCCGGUACAAAAAAUGGCCCCAAAAGAAACAGUCCAUUUACAAUCAAAUAAGCCCGAACCCAGACCCGAUUUUCAUUAAACUACAGAGGCCCAAAUACAGUGGCCCAAAACAGAUGAAAAACCCUAGGGACUAAGAGCGCCGCAAGCCAAGCCUUGCCCUCCGAAUCUCUGCGUGAUCCUACCUGCACAACAAAGGAAAGAAGCAAAGCAAAAUAUGGCAAAAAAUCUCGAAAUCAAAUCAAGCAGAUGCUGGAGGAUUUCUGUUUAUUUUUUUCUUUAUUUUUCUUCUUGUUUCACGAUUGCUAUAAAGAGCAAUCUUAAUACACUGCAAAGGGAUCCGAAUUCGAAAAUCAAUAAAAAAAGCUAUUAUUUUUACAGCAAAAAAAAAACAGAAUACCAAAAGAGCAAAGACCGAUUGAGAAAAAUCCAAAGGUUGAAACUUUUUUUUCGAACUGUUGUUUCUAUUCUUCUUCCGCAUUUUAUUACAAAUAUAUAAAAAGAAUAAAAAUAAAACGGAAAGGGGGUUGACAGCGUACCUGAAAUCGGGUCGUGUGCUACUGUCGGAGGUCUCCUCCGUUCGUUGCGGCCACAAAAAACCCUCCAGGGGCUUCUCUCGGAGCGCAAGCGGAAAAACAAGGCCGAAAGGCCAUUCUUUUCCCUUUUUCGUUUCAUUUACAGAGAGUCUAAGCCUAAGUUAAAUAUUUUUUUUUUAAAAAAGGAAAAAGAAUCUAAAAAAAUUCUGGCUUUAGGCCUUCCGGCACGGCGGUGCUACGACGGAUGUGGCGGAGCCACCGCGCGAGAUCGCCGGCGCCAUAGGCCGGAUUUAGAGGCUGAAAGUUGAAAGGUUUUCAGGGUUUUUUUUCAAAAUGAAAUGGAAAAAAUGAG
rnacentral:lncRNA from 1 species